rnacentral:lncRNA from 1 species
UUUUUUUUUUUUUUUUUUUUUUUGGUGGGCAAGCUCCUAGCCUCACAUUAAAAGCGUAAUUUUCUCAUUAUUGCGUUUUCCAAAUUGGUGUCGUUUUCAAAAAAUUAGUACAUAAUUUUUAUUCUUUUGCCACUCCUAUUCCUUGUCCUUUUUAGAAAGAUAAUAUACACCAUUCAAAUUUCUUAAUGUGGAGGGUGAACUUUGAAAACUCUGUGUAAGUAUCACCAUUAGGUCAUUAUUGUUAAAAUGUUGAGUUGCCCAAAAAUGACAAAUAUUUGGGAUGGAGGGAUUGAUUAGUAAAGUAAACAUAGGAAAUACAAAGAAAGCAAGAAAGAAGUGCAAAGAAAAUUCAUAAUGGUAGCUUUCUACACCAAUCAGAUGUAUGUGUAUACUUUUAUAUAUAUAUAUAUAUAUAUAUAUAUAUGUAUGUAUUCUUUAUUACUCGUUAGACGUUAUAUUUUUCAUUCCAUAAAGUAAGUAUACAUUAGUAUUUUGGGAGUUCACAAACAUUGUCACAUUUUUAAUAUUAUACUUCUUUACCCCACAUAAUAAAGUGACACAUGUUCCUUUAUUUUACAUUAACGAUGGCCAUGAAUCAUGUAAGAAUAGUCUGUGGAUGAUAUCUUCUAACUAAUAUUAAAUUAAAAGGCACAUCACGCCCCAAUCCAUGGUGUAAAAGAGUUUUGGAUUCAAAUCCUCUUUCUCCAUUUUUACUUUUUAAAUCUCACACGUCCCUUGGUAAUUUUUUUUUUUAAAAGUUUUAUAGGGUAAAAAGGAUUUCCAAAAGGCAAUAGAAAUUUCCAAAAUUUCAGAUUAAAGUGAAGUAGUGUGUCCUGAAUGAUUCACAAAAAAGAUUUUCAUUGCUUAAUCCUUUUCCCCUUUGGAUUUCAAUCCGCAUAACCUGCUUUAUAUGCUACCACUUAAUCAACCCGCGCUUAAUGAUUCAAAUCCAAAAUUCACGCUUCUCAGCUAAACACAGUCCACGCUUUCUCGAAACUAUCUUAACCAUUCUAAGUCCAUUCCGGGCAAGCAUGCAGAUCUUCGUCAUAUCCCAAAGCAGCAGGACCAUUGUUUUCGAGGUGGAAAUUUCCGAUACCAUCCAAGUCGUCAAGGCCAAGCUUCAGCUGAAAGAUGGAAUCCCUCCUCAGCACCAGAGCCUCGUAUUGGCCGGCAAACAACUAGAUGAAGAUCGCACACUCGAGGAUUACGACAUCUAGGAGAACUCCACAUUAAUGGCAAGGCCGAGGUACACUGACCAGCGAUGUUUUUAAACUUGGACCGGUCAGCGAACCGGAGAGGUGGCCGGUUCGCGGUUCGACCGGUCCAACCGGCCGGUUCACAGGUUCACUGUUUUGUUUUUUUUGUUUUUACUAAGCAAGUUUCAUUACUUGACAGCUAAUGUACAAUUUAAUAUAAUUAUUGAUAACUUAAGUUUCUAAAAUGCAUUCACCAACAUAACUAAAUUUAAGUUGAAAUAAUAAUAAAUUUCCUAAAAGUUAUACAUAAAACAUGGAAUGAUAAACAUAAUUAAAAUAUCAUAAUUCACCACAAGUUUUCAUAAAUUCAUUAUAAACAUAAAUAGAUACAAUCCAAAUGUUCACCAAUUAUCACAAAUAAAAACACAAAAAAUAACUAAAAUAAAUAUUGAAAUUCUUUUACAAUCCUUAAAAAAAUCCAUAAAAGAGUUCAACUCAAGACAAACCAUUUGAAUGACAAACUUCCAUUAGUGGCAUGACAAGUAGCAACAACACCACCUUCACAAUUUCAUCAACUUAACUUGGAAAAGUUAAAAUUUUAUUAUAAAAAUAUAAAUUAAUUGCUCAAACUAAAAAAAACUAAAAAAAUUUGAAAAACAAAUAUACAGCUAAACACAUUAAAAAUUAAUUAUUACUAAACAUCACUAAUUAACAUGUUAUAUUAAAUUCAAUGAUCCUAUACAAUUAAUUAUUUUAAAUUCAAUGAUCAAUAGCUUCGAUUAUAUGCCAACUAACAUAUUUUUUACCAGCCUAAUGUUAUUAUUUGUAAGUCCUACCCAAUUCCUACAUGGAGGUGUGCUACUUUUGCAAAAAUUUCAUCCUUAAUUACUCAAAUAAAAAUAAAACAAAAAUUAGGGAAACAGAUGAAAAUUGGGGGGGAGGGAAAAAGAAGAAAAUGCAAAAAAAAAAUCAACUAAAGAUAAUAAUAUAGAAAAAAAAGCUUGAAAAGAGAAAAAUUAAACUUACCAAAAUGAUGGAAAACAAGAAAAGUUGAAAUUUCCAACUUGUUUACAAUCUGCCAAAGAUGAUAACCUGAUAAUAAUGGUGAAGACUUGAGAAAAUCUUGUUGUGGAUAUUUGGGUUUAAAAUGGUUAUGAAGAAAAAAUUGAAAAAAAAAAUCAAGAGAAGAACUAGAGAGCGCCGCCUAAUGAAGCCGAGAAAGUAAUUGAUGGAAAGAAAAUUUAGAAAAGUUCAUCUGCAUUGAUGCACUUUGCUUUUUCUGUACCUGAUAUUUUAAUAUAUUUUUAGUCAAAUAGAAUUGUCAACAAGCUUAACUAUGGUCUAGUGGUAAAAUUGUCAUAUGUAAAUGUGGAAGCUUAGGUUCGAAUCGGAGCUACACCAUUUUUGAUAUUUUGUUGAGGAAUUAAAAAAACCGUCGGUUUACGGUUCGAACGGUUCAUCCGGUUUUCAAUGGUUUUCAUGAACUUCCGGUUUUAGCACUAGAUCGGACCGUUGACAUGUCCGGUUCGUGGUCCAACCGGUUGAACCGACCGGUCCGGUCCGACUCUGAAAACAUUGCUGACAAGAGAAAAUUCCAUCAUAUGCAGCCAUAUGAUCCUCCCAAUAAACCUCACAAAAGCACCCUCCCCAAAUCUUUGUCGGAAAACAGUCCACAAAAGUACCCGCCCGUGUUUAUCAUAGUAAUCGUUUAUUUUUUUGGUUAAUUGUACUGCUUCUUGAUGCUAACUAUGACAGGUUUCUUGACGUUAUUAGAUGCCAUUUAUGUUUUUUUAGCAAUGAUCAGUUAAUUGGAAAUCUUUUAUCUUGUAUUAUUGACUGGAAUUUGAAUUCUUGCGGUUAGAUUUUAUGUUCUUUACUGAUUAGCGAUACAGAAUUAAGCUAAUACAGAAUUAAUUCAUCUUGUAUUUAUGAUUGGAAUUUCUUCAUAUCAAUAAAUAUAGUAUCCCUAGACAUUGCACCUUUUACAUGGCUUAAUUAUAUAAAUAGUUAUUGACGAAAAAAAAUUAUAUAAACUGUUUGGCUAAGUUGUGCACCACUCACUCAUUAAUAGGGGUUUCAAGUAUUAGUUUUUUAGAAAAGUACAAAUAACAUGGAAAAAUGUAUAAAAACAAGGACAUAAUAAUUGUGAUUGUGUGUAUCAACAUAACAAAUUAGGGAAAAAUGCACUUUUCAUCCUUAAAGUUUGGGUUGUUAACCAAUUUUAUUCUCAAAAUUUCACCCAAAACGCAUUUUAUCCUCAAAGUUAGUAAUUUUGGCCAAUUAAGGACAAUUGACGGGAAUUGGCAAAUUUAUCGUUAGAACCAACUGUAAACCCAACAAAAAAUGGGUAAAAUCGAAUGGAACCGUAUUUCACAGCAGACGCUAAAAUACAAAGGGAUCAGUCACCAAGGUCAUGGCCCAGAAAAGUCAGUAGCUCUCUUUCCUAUGUUAUUGAUCCCUCCUUCUUGGACUUGGGAUCGCGAAAAAUCUAGAUGGGGACAAAGGAAACCCAUAACCAGGAGAAGGAGGCACUUAAGGCCCCGGGCCUAGUAUCCCUGAUUGAGCCAUUGGAGAAAGUGAGAAAUUUGGAGUCAUUGGAGAAGGGUGCUGAAAACUAGGAGAAAGCAAUGGAUACGAUGAUCUAGGAGAAAACAAAUUUAAGAAACCAGUUGGUGAUGGCAAAAGAAACUGAGAAGUUGGGGAAGGCAAAAGUGGAUGUGGACCAUUUAUUCGAGGUGAAGGAAGAGAGGGUGGAGGACCAUUCAUCCUAGGAGAUGGAAAAGGAGGAGGACCGUUCAUCCUAGGAGAUGUAAGUGGUGGAGGCAUGUUCAUUCUUGGAGAUGGGAUAGGCGGCAUAUGCGGAUUAGGAAGUAAACCAGAAGCAGAUGGCUGAGCUUGAUUUGGACCAAGACCCUGAGGUAUUAACUAGGGAAAAGGUUGCCUUGGCCCUGAAUCUAUGAUUGAAUUUUGAAGGUAUCGCAUGUAAGCUGAUAUAGGAGACUCAGCUGUGUUUGGCCAAGCAUCACCAGGAAUGAAGGGUGGCAACAUAGUUGGUGAUGGUUGGCCAUACUGGGGGAGAGGAGGUCUUGUGAAGUUGUUGUUGUAUGGAACACUAGCUGGAGGCUGUGCGGGAGCUGGCACUGGUACAGGAGGUUGAAUCGUCAUAGGAGGUCGAUUUAUUGGUGUCAAGGGCGGUGGCUGAAUCUUCUGCAACCGCAUACUUGCAGGUUUGGGGGGAUUUUGGGGAGGCCUAGGAGCAGGUGGUUCUUGAUUAUUCGAAGGUGAACCAGCAAACUGUUGCACUAUGUUUCGAAAAUCAUUUUUAUUAAUAUUAUACACCUAAGGCUGAGGUUGCUGCUUGGCAGUUUUAGUAAAAUUGGGUCGGUACAUUGGACUCUUCUUUAUGUUCUUCCCUAUCUUAUUCACACCCAAAUGAUCCGUAUGCCGAUUCAUCUGCCUAUUGGUACUAUCCAUAUCAACACCUUGAACCGACCAACAAAUUCAGAAUGGUGCAAGCUCAAAUUUCUUUUCUUCUUCAGCUAGUGAAUCCAACAAUUACCAUCUUAAGCAUCAAAACACCAACUGAUGAUCAAACCAAAGUAAAACUCAAAACUUUUGUGUAUUGAUUUUGAUGAUGUUUUUGCAGGGAUGAAGAUUAAGACAGACACACCUCUUGCCAAGAAGGCACGAGAAAGAGUUAUGGAAUUUUGCUAAUGAAUCAUCCGUUGGAUUGCCCAAUUUGUGAUCAAGGUGGGGAAUGUGGCUCCAUUCGGUUUUACCCAUUUUUUUGUUGGGUUUAUAGUUGGUUCUAACGAUAAAUUUGCCAAUUCUCGUCAAUUGUCCUUAAUUGGCCGAAAUUACGUAAUUUUGAGGAUGAAAUGUGUUUUGGAUAAAACUUUGAGGAUGAAAUUGGUCAACAGCCCAAACUUUAAGGAUGAAAAGUGCAUUUUUCCCUAACAAAUUAAGUAAUUUGUGUGUGCUAACUAGUGCUCAUUGGAUACUGAUCACUAGAAAAACCCUUACAUAAAUCAAGAAAGAUUAAUCUUACCUAAUUGCAAAACUAAGGUUACUCAUUGACAAAGUAUAAAUUGUUUUUCUUUUUGGUAAUUUUGUAAAUUGAUUUUUUAUUUGUUCAUGAAAUAAUGUCUUGACUAUAAGGAAAAAACAAAAUAUUGGGCUUAACUUAAUUUUAAUAAUAAUUAACAUCAAACCGUGAUUUUUUACAUUGAGGCCAUAAAAUCAUAGUAAUUCAUCAGACUUUCAGAGUUUUACAACACACUUUGUUGGGGAAAAAAUGGGAAAAAGAAUACACAACUGCAAACAUAAUCUAUUGUAUCUCCAGUUUAUCACGAGAGUCGGUGUCUCCUAGGCUACCGAUACCAAAAGGAUAAGCAUUAAGUAAUGAGGAUAAUGCAGAGUAUGCCAAUCUGGAAGAUGCUUCGUACACUAUUUCACUGGGAUGGAAAUCAUCCCAGAAAUAAUAUUCGUUUCUGUUGCUGCAGGGAAUUUGUCCAGGAAUGCAUUGUCCAGCACUAACUGUUGUAGACACAUUGCAGCAUGGUGCUUUAUCAAUUGUAAUUUCUGAGAUAGAUUUAGUGUAAGAAUGAAUUGAAAAAAGAAAAAAAAAACACAGUAUCAAAGAAAAAUGUGGAAGUAGACGUGUAGAAGAUAGAUGUACAAUGACGUUUUUUCUUUUUUUUCUUUUCUUUUCGUUUUUGUUUCUACAUAAACUGAAAUUUCCUAAGUGAACCUUAUGUAUCCAACUACACAUUCAAAUGGAAGCAUCAAUUUUUAGAAAAUGGCAAGUGGCAAGAUAGGAUAAUUUUGCUUUUAUAUUUACAUGUGAAAUGCUGAGUAGCUGAAGUGUUUCUAAGUCAAUCGUUCCAUUAAAACGUUAAUUUGCUUCAUUGGACUUCGAGUUUAUGCAAGUAUAUAUACUGAUGAAUUAUCAUUCCAUAUAGUAGCAACCAAUAUUUCGUGUUCAAAUGGUUAAAAGAUAAGAAAUCUAAUUGUUCAAAAUGUAUUAGACGGUUUAGAUCAUUUUAUUAGGAAAGGUAUGAAAAAUAAGAACCAAAAAAAAAAAAUUUUCAUAGAAGGGUACAACUUUUGGUAAAUAAGGGUAUGGGUAUUGUUCAUUGAUUAAAACAGUUAAUAAAUUUAUUGUUAAAUAACUAGAUCUUGUUUGAUAACCCAAUUCAGCACUUAAAUUUAAUAAUUUCAUAUUUUAACAUAUUCAGACUCGUUUGAUAAUAAAAAAUAAAACAUCUAAAUUAAUUAAGUGACACUGAAUUUUCUAAGCAAAAUUUGUUCGAAAAAUAAGUGAUAAGUUAUUCAUUUAUUACUUAAUAUGGUAUAUACUCAAAUAUAUUAGAUUUAGUGCUUAAUAAUUCAGUAACUUAAUGAAUUCAAAUUUUAGAUUUCAUAUUUGAAUUUUCAUAUUUCAGUUUUAUCAAACGCAUUCUAAAUCACCUUCAUAGAAUUGUGCACUCUAGUGUAUAGGGCAUCUACACAAAUAUUAUAUUAAGAGAUAAACUCUUUGGUUUAUGAGCCUCUUCAUUUUGAUAUUGCAUUAUCAUGAUUUUCAUAAACUUCAAAAGAAAACAACCCAAGAAUGUUAAAUGUGGUAACUAACCAAAUAAUUGCCAACUUGCAUCUUUUUCAAAGAAUGAAAUUAUUAUCCACACAUUUUACCUCAGUCUUUAUAACAAAAAUGUUGUAAAAUUAAGUUCAAUAAGCUUAUUUUGUAACCAAAACCUUGAUAUUCUUUUCGAUUGCAUGAACAUCAGGUUUGCCUUCAUCACCGUCCUAUAUUAUCUGUGCAGGUUGAGUCUAAAUAAACACUUUCGGUUUCCAUAAAGUAGAAGUUCCAACGUACCUGCAGGCAUAGUGCUCAAAGUGAUUGCUGUCACAUUUACAUAGAUAAAAUGUGCACUGCUUAACUCGGCAUUCAGUUCAUCGACCAGUGGCUUGAGCUCCUCAUUGAAUAACUGAACUUCACUAUUUAAAGAAUCCACACAUGUACCAUCUAUAGAUAACAAACCAGGCACACAACCAAGGAAACCUAGCCCAAAAAUAGCUAUUUUUCUUGCCCCCAAUCUGUACAAUUUCUAGCACCAAAAGGGAUACGAGUUAGGUUUUUUCUUUUUCUUUUUUAAAUGUAUAUUCAACGUGAACAUCAAAAUUUAAUGAUGGAAAAUGGAAAUUUGUUAAAAGAAAAUAAUUAUACGAACCCGUAGUUGCUGAGAAUAUUCUUUAAUCAACAUUCUAGCAAAUUGUCUUGGAGUACAUAGGCGGCUUGCAGCAUAACAUUCUGGCAGUAAGUAGCUGUCGAUGUAAUCGUUACUUCCAAUUGCAAAAGUAUACAAACAUUUGGCUAGGUAUUCUUUUGUUGCAGCUUCGUUCCCAAUUAAUCUCACAAGCUGCGAAGUUACUCUUCUAUGAUUUUGCAAUUGUUGGUUGAGGCUGACGAUAUCGCCCUAUUAGUAAAAAAGAAAGCAAUGUAGUGUGAGUUUUGGCUAGCUUGCCUCCCUCAAGAGGUCAGUAACAACAAAAAGAAAAGCAAAGCACCAAUACUGGAUUCUUGAGAUUUUGAAAUAAAUUUUUUAGCAUAAUUAGGUAAUAAUGAAUGUAUCCCAUUAGCUUUCUUUUAUUAAGCAAUUUUAAAGAAGUGGAAAUGUGUAUCAGACAAGAAAUUGGACAAUAAAAGAAAAAAUAGGUCAAGUUAUGAGUCAUGACUAUUUACAUUUCUAAUGAGGCCAUUGUGGCAUUGUGACCAGAAUCCAUGGUCCGCAGCUGAUAUGUUCACUACAUUAUUUGUUCCUUUUUUCAUUUUUCAUUUUCCCCCCAAGUAUUCUUACCACUUCAGUGUGCCAUAUGGUUCAUUUGUGUUAAAAUUGAAGACUAAUCCGCCAAUUGAAAAAUGGAGUUUGAUUUUUGUGCACUAACUUGGAAAAAGUUGAUAUAUUAAAUAAUAAUAGGUGGUCAAUAAAACUAUAGUAGUGACCAAACAAUACUGUUAAUGAUGCCAUGAAAAAAAUUGGCAAAAAGGGACUAGCAAUUAACCGGUAUUCUCAGAAUUUCAUUAGAUCUUUUGUUGAAAUCGAUGCAAUUGACAGGUGAAAUUUGUAUUUAAUAAACAUUUGGCUGUUUAAAGCAUUAAACUAUUUUGCAGAAACUAUAAGUUUCAUUUUGUUAUUGGGGUAAACCUCAAGUGAGAUAAAUGUAACCAACUCAAUUUACAAAAUGGUAAUUUGGGACUUUUAGAUAUAUAUAUAUAUAUAUAUUUUUGGUUGGUGCAUGCAACACAUGAUAGCGACUAAUGUCUGGGAGUAUUUGAUAUACGUUUUGUCAUUCAAGGGGUUUAACUAUAAUUUUGCAAAACAACAAGGUAGUUUUGUAAUUUGGUCAAAACCACAGGGAUGAUAAAUGUAAUUAACCCAAAAAACUAUAUAAAUAAUAUAAAUAAAAAUUUUCCAUUUGAAAUUCUCCUAGAUAAGACAAUUGUAUGAAUACUUAGAUCUAAAGUCAAAACGGGAAGAGGAAGGGAUGGAUUGGACAAUAUGGAAGGAAAGAAUAUAAGUGAGAGAUUUCAGUUCGAGGUCUCCGCUUACAUUAUAUUAAAAAAAAAAAGAAAUAAAAAGAAGAAGUCAGAACGGAAAGGUCCAAUGGAGCCCAAACAUUGGCCUUGAACUAUAGGCCCCCCAAACAAUUCUGUUCCAGUUCAAGGUUAAAUGAAAUUCACUUGAAUCAAGGAUCCAUGCCUCAUUAGUCUAUUUUAGUCCACUUCAAGUUUAAAUGUCUAUUUCAAAUUUUUGUAAAUCCUACUCUAAUUUGUUUAUAUUGUAUUGAAACUUAUGUACAUCUCAUUCUAACUUGUUUACACUCUAAAGGCCAGCUAAUUUGAUAUGGAACUUGUGACCAGAGAAGAAUGUGGAUAUAUGAUCAUGCCAGUAUCCCCUUAUUGGACCAUUCAUAGUACUGGAUUUUGGACAUAGUUCGAAAACCAUGGUGAAUAAGUGACUCGAAUCGUUGUCAAAAUAACUAAUCAGAAUUAAGUGCCCAUGCCAACAUGUCGUGGUUAAGCGAGGAUUAAGGGUCUAAGCUUGAGUCUACUUAACACUUCUAACUGGCAGUAUGCGAGAAUGAGCCUACACUUUGAUCUACACAUAGUGGACAAUCACUCUAGAUUUCAUUGCACACAAAAAUUAAAAGAAAAUGAAAAUCAAGAAGCCAAGUAGUCUCCUCACUAUAAUGUGAUUUGACCAUUUUUGGAUUGUCAUUUUUUCUCAAAAAAAUUUUACCUUUUCAUGAAUACAUUUUUCAAUCAUCAUAUAUAUCAAAUCGUUACAUUACAUUUUUUUUUAACAAAGACUUCAGAAAACAAUGAUCCAAACGGGAGCACAUUAUAAAUUAUUUUGGCCAGAAGGAAAUUUAUUUGCCAAUAUUCUAAUUCUCAAUUCAUAAAUAUUUAUAAAUGUUAAUGCAUCUUCUGAUUUAGUUAAAUUAUGUUUAACUCGAGAUCUACUGAGUGUAACACAUAAUAGAACCAUGUACAAUGUGUGUAUAGGUAAUUGAAGAAGACCACAAAUAAUAAACUUGGCAUUCAUGGACAUCCUCAUGUCAUAGUACUGUACAAGGUACUAUACAUUUUCGGUGUCAUAAAAAAAUUUUCGGUGGGCACAUUAAUGGCACCUGACUUAUUAGGCAGUGACAUGUUCUCGUUUUUGAACGUCAUAUAAAAGGUCUGGUACUACAAUGCGUCACAUUCCAACCCAGCAAAAACGCCUUUCAAGAAACAUGGACAAGAGCAUGGACAAGAAAAUGGCAGAAAAAGAAACAUGGACAAGAGCAAAAUUGAAAAAUAGAGACAAUUGGAGAGAGAGUUUAUGUUAGUCUUGAAAUUGAACAGAAUUGGAUUUCUUGAAUAUACUGCAAUUGCAAAACAAAGGGCCGUUAAAUCAGUUCUUAGCAUGUGGAUCGAUGAACAAAAUAUAAACUAUUUACUUUGCAUUGAGAUACAUAUACAGUAUCAUGUGAUUUUUUUUUUUUUUUUAAAAAAAAGGUUUAAAAUGGCUGAAGUGAUUUAGGCAAUUUUGUUUUCAUUUUGUAAGUGUAUUCUAACCAGAGUAAUGAGAGAAUAUAGUAACAUUGAUCUGAAAUUUCAAAACUUUUUAUUUUUCAAAACAAAAAUGUAUAAUUACCAGCUGGCGACCUGUCUGGUCAAGAAUUCCGGAUGCUGCUGAUGCAUAGUUAACGCCUUCAGUGAUGUCCUGGCCUUUGAUAUUUGCAAAUGGAGGCAUGUAGCCGGCAAAUCCAAGGAGCUCAGCUGCCAGAAACAGACGUAUACUUUCUUUCUAUCAUUAAGUAGCACAUAUCUAAGUGGCAAGCCCUAGCUUGUUUACGAAAUUCAUCUCUCUUUUUUUUCAGUCCUUAAACUUCAAGCAUCUCUUUACGAGAUAGAUUUCAUAUUUUAAGAGUAAUGUUCGAAGUUGAAGUUUAAGAACUAUAAAGUUGAUGCUUUCAUAUUUUAAGAGUUAAAAGUGUCCAAGAAUAAAAAUUAAAAACUCAGCUUGAAAUGCUUUUAGGAGUCCAAAGUGGAAUAUAGUCUUCAAUUCAUAAAAGAGUCCAUACGAAUCAAAAAACUUUUUGAAAGAAAUAAUACAAUUUAAAAAAAAAAAAAAAAAAAAGAAGUUUUGUGCUGGAUAUUGAAAAAGAAAGAGAUGGUUACCUAUGAAGUCCGCAUGGUUUCGCCCAUUGGUGAAGCGACCAGUUGGACCUUCCGGGAAAUCAAUGCCGUAAGGUGGAUAAUUUGCCUUGGCGGUAGUGUUCAGGUCAUUGUUGUUGCCAUUGUCAUCUUGUGAGUCACCGAAAAUGAAGUAACAAGGGACCUGUGGAUUGCCCAGAGCAAAUGGUUGCAAGAAGAAGAAGAUGACCAUUCCUACGACGGGCAAGAGAACCCAUUGCUUUGUUACAAAAGUCAUGAAUGCCGAUGAGGAAAGAAGCAAGUGAUAGGAAAAGCCAGACGCGGAGGUACCAAAGUCAUUGCCAAAAUAUAGAAGGCAGAGGAGCUAUUGCAGUUGGCUGUAGUGGUGGUCCACCUUGGGAGAGGGCGGAGCCACUCCAUCUCCAUGUGCAGCCUGUUAAACCUGACCCGGCAAAGGAGUCGGUGAUUGAUUCAACUAAUGAAUUGAUUGUUGAAUCUGUGGGUCGAUCACUAAAAAAAUAUUUAUAAGGGUAAAUUAUAUUAACUUCCCCUCUUGUUUUUACAAAAGUUAGGGAUCUCCACUCUUGAUCUCGGAACAAAGAGGACCUCCCCUCUUGUCUGCCAAAUAACAAGAAAAGCUUCCCUACCUAGCUAUGAUCAGGGGAGAAAUGUUAACUACUUUUGUCAUAAACUCAAUUCAAAGUCCCCAAACCACCAUUUCAAUGACACAAGUAAUUAUUUCCAAAAAAAAAUUAAGAAAAAUAGAGUGGAGUACCGAUCACACAUAAUUUUAUUUAUAGCCAUAAAAGUAAAUCCAUAAUACUUCUUUUCUAUAUUAGCUUUGCCACAAAAUAAGUUGAUGUCUUGAAUCAUUUAUGUAAUAUUCAUGUAUAUACAAGUUGAAAUUUUAAAUUGUUAAUAUAUUUGAUAAAUGUACAGUUUGGACACCUCAUUUUAUUAGAAUCCAAUUUAUUCUUGAAGUAGGUACACAUGCAAAUCUAUUAAUUUUGACUGGGAAGAAUAAAAAUAAUGAACAAAUUAAAUAUGGGAAAUCUUCAAAUUUUAAUGCAUAAAAAUCGCUUUAUUCUUCUUUUUUCCCCCCAUUUCUUAGAGAACUAAAGCUCUUUGUUUUGACAAUUUUCUUUUGUUUAAUAUAAGAUAAAGGGUAAAAAUGUAAAAUGAAAACUAUUGUAAAUGUUGACUUGAUGGAAGACAUUAUUGAUAAGAGAGGCUCAUGUUGUCUCAGAAUCACGAGAAGAGACCCCUGACUGUUGCAGGAAACUAGAGGGGAGGUCAGUGUAAUUCACCGUCUUUGCAAAUACAUGUGACAUAAUUAUUAGUUAUCUUGAGGUGCGUAGAAUUUAUAAAUAAAGUACUUCAUCAAUAUUAAUUAGUACAUCUAAAAAGAUAUAUUUUGAAUAUAUAAACUUAAUAAAUGAGUCAAUUUCUUUAUAUCAUACUUUAAAAAUAUAAAGCAUGCAUUCAAAGAUAAACAAAAAAUUAGCUUAUUUAUUAAAAGAAUAGGCUUUUAAGGAAAUAGAAUUAAGUUUUUGUCAAUACUUUGCCAAAAAAAUUCAAUUAAUUUUCAACCGUUGUUUACGUAAUAAUAACACUUUCAUAUUGAAAGUUGAAUUAAUUAUGCAAUAAUAAAGUAAACAAAUACAUUUGAAGGGACAUUUGGUCAACAAGUGAAAGUUUAUUUCCAAUAAUAAAGUCUUUUGCACGUCAAUGAAGACAUUCAUAUUUCCCCUUGAGAAAAAAUUGAACUUUAAACAAAAUUAUUUUGAGAUUCAAGGUCCAGACAUUGGUAAAAACAUACAUUUUGAUCCAAAAACAAAGACCUAUGUUAUUCAUCGCAGGGGAGGUUAGGUCAGUCCAAAUAAGGCUUGACCGAUUACAUAUUGUCAAAUUAAUAAGAUAAUUGUACACAGAUAUACAUCGGUCCAAUCUCAUUCCGAAUCAAUACUAUGAAGUGGACUCACAUUGGGUCUUAAUAUAUACAUGUGUGUGUGUGUGUGUGUGAGAGAGAGACCUUGAAGCAGGUUGGGCUUGGGCCACCAAGAUUUUAUUACCGGUUCGAUUUUAAUAUAUAGUAUCAGGACGUAGAGAUUAUGAAUUCAAAUUUCCUUUUCGCCUACUCUUUGUUUUCUAAAUCUCACCUCUUUUAAUUUUUUUUUUUAAAGUAGGUUAUAUAGUUGUAAGAGUAUAUAGGGUUAGAACAAUCACAGGGGCAAACUAGUAUACCAUGGUAUAAUCCCACCCCUUAUUUAUCUUGGGAAAACUGUUACCACCUCCAAUGUAAGAUUAUUUUAUCUUACGAAUGAGGGAUUAAUUUGGUAAAAUGAAAAGUCUAAUUGCAUAAAACUAACUAAAUAUGGGAUAACAUAAUAUUAAUAAUUUAAUCCUAUGUCAUCUCAUGCAACAAACUAGCGAAGUCUUUUAGACUAAUAAAGGCACGGUUUGAAUCCGAACGUAUUAUACUGACUGUCAAUUUAUUGUGGCAAAUCUGGAAAUCUAGAAAUGAGAAACAGUUCAAUGGUCAGGAAAGGAAUCCGUUAGUAGCAGUGAGUAAGGCAGUGGGGGAAUGGAAGGAGUUUCAGGAUGCUCAAGCAGAGGAAUUGGAGAGUCAGGGAAGUGGUAAGCAUGAAGCUGAGGGAUCAAGGGGGUGGAGGCUUCCUCAGGAAGGUUGGGUCAAGAUAAACACAGAUGCUGCAUUACAAAAGAAGGAAGGUCUGGCGGGAUGGGGAAUGGUUGCAAGGGAUUGGCAAGGGAAAGUUCUGAAAGCUUGGGCAAUACCAAACCGUAGCUGUUCUAAUCCAAAACUGGAGGAGUCAUUGGCUUUAAGAGCUGCCAUGUUGCUGGCAAAACAGCAGGGUUGGAAGAAGGUGAUGUUUGAAUCGGACUGCCUACAGGUGGUGGAGGAAAUUAACAAGGAGCAGUCGUAUGAGAUAGGCUCAGUAGUAUUAGAUGAUAUCAGGGAACUUAGGAAAAAUUUUUACGAAUGUUGUUUUACCUUUACUCGAAGAGUAAACAACUUUGUUAGCCAUAGACUUGCCAAAUUGGCAAUUAGCUUAACAAUACAAACUGAAUGGAAGGACAUCUUCCCAGACUGGCUGCCUGCACUGGUGCAAGCAGAUAUUGAGGGCAGUUGCCCAUCUUUCAUGUAAAGUUUAUGUUCAGUAAUAGAAUGUUACCGACCUUUUGACAAAAAAAAAAAAGAAUCCUCACUCAAUCAAACAUGUGAUUACAUAAAGGUCUUUUAGAACUAUAAGAACACUUAAUAAACUUUGAACGAGGAUUCUGCACAGACAUUGGGCUUUUACACAAUUCUAAUAGUAAUUAUAAAUGGUCUGAGAUUAAUGAUAACAUAUUGUUUCCAUUGAGGAGAUAAUGUCAUACUAGCACAUUCGGACUCUCCAGUUUUAUUACAUCGAGUUUGACUUGUUGGAAACUUGGAAUAUAGAAAUAUCAUGGGACACAUAGAUACAGUCUAUUGUAUCUUCACUUUAUCAUGACAGGUUUUGCCUGUAGGCCGCCAAUGGCAAGAGGAUCAGCAUCAAGUAAUGAGGAUAACGCAGAAUAUGCUAAUCUUGAAUAUGCUUCAUUGACUACUUCACUGGGAUGGAAAUCAUCCCAAAAAUAAUAUUGGUUCCUGUUGCUGCAGGGAAUUUGUCCAGGAAUACACUGUCCACGAGCAACUGUUGCAGACACGUUGCAGCAUGGUGCAUUGCCAAUUGUAAUUUCUGAAAUAGAUUAAGUGUAAGAUUGAAUUAAAAAGAGAGAACAGAACCGGCAAAAAAAAAAAAAACAGCGGAAUGUAAGACAGCAGGAAAGAUACAAUGACUUCAUUUGUUGAAAAAAAAAAAAAAGAAAACAAGAAACAUAAACUAACUAAGAUCUCCUCAACAAUAAUUUUUUGAAUGCAGUAUUUAUUAUUUAUUCAGGUUGAAUCUAUUUUGUGAAUCAAACAGAAUGUUCCAGUAAAAUAGGAGCUCAACGUACCUGCCGGGGUGGAUAAAUUGUUCAAAUUGAUUGCUCUCACAUCUACAUAAAGAAAUUGUGCAUCGCUUAACUCGGUAUUCAGUUCUUCAACCAGUGGCUUGAGCUUGUCAUUGAAUAACAGAACUUCAUCGUUAAUAGAAUCCACACAGUUACCAUCUGCAGAUAACUCAGCAGGUAUGCAGCCAAGCAAACCAAGCCCAAAAACAGCUAUUUUUCUUGCCCCCAAUCUGUACAAAGUCUAGCACCAAAAGGGUUUCAAGUUAAUUUUCUUUUUCUUUUUUUUUUUUUUAAAUUUAUAUACCUGGUGAACACGAAAAUAAUGAACGAAGACUGAAUUUUGUUAAAGAAAAAUAAACAUAAUAAUAACUAAACCAACCCGUAGUUGCUGAGAAUAAUGCCUAAUUAACAAGCUGGCAAAUUCUGUUGGAGUAUAUAGGUGGCUUGUAGGAUAAUAUUCUGGCAACAAGUAGUUGUUGAUGUAGUCAUUAUUCCCCAAUGCAGCAGUGUACAGACAUUUGGCCAGAUAUUCUUUUGUUGCAGAUCUGUUUCCAAUCAACCGCACGAUGCGCGAAAUUACUCUCUCGUGAUUGUGCAAUUGUUCGUUGAAGCUGAAGAGAUCGCCCUAUUAGCAAAUAAAAAAGCAUCAUGCAGAGCGGCUUUUGGUCAUGUUACCUCCUUCAUGUGAAAAUUAACAAUAAAAUAAAGAGCAAAGCACCUAUACUCUUUUUUCCCGCAUUAUAUUUAGAUUUUUUCUUUAAAAGUGGGAUUCUUAUGCUUUAUCUUGCACUGACACCUAAGGUGUUGAUCGCUCAAAAACCAUUGCAUCUACUUUUUGCCUUGCACAUACAUUAGGUUGUCAUAAAAUUCUUAUCCUUUUUCCCUUCUCAAUUACUCCUUUUUGUUAAAAUUUAUGCCUCUGAGCUCCCUUUCUUUGUAUUUUCUAAGAAAUUUUAUUCAAGCUGUAGGACUUAUCAUCUAUAAUUAGGCAACGAGAAUAUCUUUGGGUUAGCUUCCUUUUAUUGAGCAAUUUCAAAGAGCUGAAUGUGUUUAUCAAACAAGAAAUCGGACACUAAUAGAAACAAGAGAUCAAGCUAUGACAAUCUAAUAAAACCUUAUGCAUAAAUUGCCAUCUAUAGCGUGGGUUGAGCAGCAAAUUACUUCCUAUAGACGAUCAACCAGACGAGUGGCCCAGAUUUUUGGUACAGGAGAAGUGUGAAAGACAUUUAUGCCCUCAAUACAUAAUACUUUGGUAGUUCUAUUAUUUUUAAGAGUGGUGUUAUUAUAUUCUACUAGUAAAGAACAUUGUACACUGCUCUCUAGAAAAUGGUGAUACAAUUGUAGAUAUAAAAAAUGAAAUAAUUUCAGAAACCUCCCAUGAGUUUUCUGACACUUUCACUGACCUCUUUUGAAAUUUCAAAAAUUACACUAUCCUCCUUUGAACUUAAGGUUUUGGUAACAAAAUCAGUCCAACUCAGAAAAAAGCACUAUUGAAAAAGUAUUUUGAGGAGUGAGAUGAUAAUUUUCUUUCAUAUAUGCCCUUUUCUAAUUGUCUUCAAGUUGUAUUAGUAAAGCAAAAAAUAAUUAAUAAAAAUCAAGGAAUAUAUGUAAAAUUUGAAAAGAUGCAGCAACUAUAACCUGAAGCAACAAUGGUUUUUGCACAUGCUAGUGCAAAUUGUAAUGGCCAUAUUUUUUGUCAUUUGCAAGUUGCAACUAUAUAUAAAAGACACAACUAACUCUAUAAUGCCAUUAAAUUAUUGGUAUAAGCAUCUAAAUUUGGGCAAAAAAAUUAAUCUUUUUAUUGUAGUUGACGAGGUAAAAGUAAAUAUAUUGAUGCAGAAAACAUACAAGUCUUAGUCAACAAAUCAACAAUAAACAGUAUAAAUAGUUUUGUUUAACCACAAGAUUCAACAAAAUAAGUUAGUCAAAAAAAUUUUCUAUUUCUCUUGCUCAUAAGGUCUAUUUGUGCAGAUUAUAUAAGGUUGUCUAUUCCAAUUAUUGUCAAGUGAUAUCAAUCACAAAAAAAGUGCCAUCUUAAGAUAGCAAUUGAUGCAAUUUUUUGAUUGUAAUUAUGGUUGCUAAUUUGAGAUGAAAUAAUCAUAUUUUGGUUUAAUUAGUUAAUCUUAUUUAUUUAGUGCCCUAAUCUUUUUUUUUGUCAUAUAUCCAUUUGUAAUAAUGCAUAACAUCUUAGGGCAAAGUAGUACUUUCACUAUAUUUUAUAUAAGUAAUUAAUGGGUCCAAAUUUUUGGCAAGAGAGGUUAGUAUAAUUUUUAAAAUCUUAAGGGAGGUCAGUGAAAGUGUUAGAAACCUCAAGAGAGGUUUCUGAAAUUAUCCCAUAAAAAAUUACAUAAAUUAUUUUUACUAAAAAAAUUUAGUUGUGAUAAAUUAUACUAUUUAAUUUUUUUAGAAGAGAAUACCAAUAUAUAUUUGAAUAUCAAAAGGAAUUAUGAAUAAUGAGAAAGAAACAAAAAUUGAAUGUCAAAUAAUUUUUAUAAAUAUUUAAUUUCCAUUUGUUGUGAUAAGGAACUAUCACUAAAAAUACAAUACUUUUUUGUUGUGUAUAUACUUAACCGGUAUAUAAUAUCAUGUUAUGCAUGCACACAUAUAGUUACAUAUACACACACACACAUACAUACAUACAUAUGUCGGUACGUGGGCCAUGUACCCUUUUGCCAAUCUUGAAUUCUCGGUGCCAAAUUUGCAUAUAUAUGUAUGCAUGCAUGCAUGUAUAUAUGUGUGUAUAUGUAUAUCUAUAUAUGUGUAUGUAUGUGUUGCAUUUUUUGAAAGUAAAUUAAAUAUAUACUUUUUUUGAGUCAGAAAACAUUCAUUUUAGUAAUAAUUCCUAUAACAUUAAAUAAAAAUUAUUAUUCAUGAGAAAAUUUUCAAUUUCGUUUUUCCUUGUUUGUCCUCAUUAGUAAAUUCCUUUUGAUGUUUAGACAAUUUUUGAUACAUUCUUAUGUAAAAUAUUUCAAUAUCAUAAACUAUCAUAAGAAACUAUAUGUCGUUUAGUAAACUAAUUUAAGUGAUCUCUACAAUUACAUCUCCAAUUAUCACCAUUUUUUGGACAUCAAAUUAUUUUGUUAAUAGUUUAAUAAAAACAUUUUUUAAGGACAAAAUUGUCGAAGUAUUAUACAUCACAAUGCAUGACUAUCUUGUCAUACCUCUAUAUAUAGAAAUUUAACCCACAUGUUUGUUCGUUUGUCUAUAAAUAGCAAUUUAUCUGUUUUGGCAUUAUAGGUAGAGGGUUCAAACUUCAAAAAAAAAAAAAUGGAAAAACCAGUUGACGCAAUUUAGAUUGAAUUUCGGAUCUAGGUAAAAUCGAAAUAUAUCCAUUUAUAAUAUUUGAUAAAAUAGUUUGGGAAUGGAUAUUAAAAAUAUAUUUUCAAAUUACCAAUUACUAGCUGAAUUUUCAAUAUAUAUAUAUGUGUGUGUGUGUGUUAUAUAUGUACAUAUUACUAAAUAUUCAUUAGAAAUUAGUUAACUAUUGAUUACUCUAGUGCAGUAUUUACUAAUUUACUACUAACGAACUUAGUGAUUUCCCACUAAAAUUGGUCAAUAGCAGAGACAGGAGCAUGCAGAUUCUCUCUACCGGCUGGUUCUUUUUGCAUUGUCUCUAGAACCGAUGGCCUAAAGCUGGCAAGUUACUUUGUUUUCUUUCUUUUUCUUUUUAUUUUCAUUUUCCUUUUUCUUUCCUUAAGUAAUUUUACCACUUUAGCAUGCCAUGCGGUUUAACUGUGAGGAAAUUAUUUCUAAAGUGGAAAUUAUGUCAACAAUGACCCAACGUAUAUGAAAAGAUUUCAUUUGAAAAUUUCCUAAAAUUGACAUUCUAUAGAUACCUGUGUCUAAAUUCAAUACACAGACAGCAUUAGGAUCGGUAUUUGGUGGACCAACCAAAGAAGAAUGUGCAUAAGAUUAUGACAAUAUCCUCCAAUUCGAUCCGUAAACAGCCUAGAUACUGGACAUAGCUCGAAACAUGACAAAUAACUAUCCUGCUCUUCGUCAAAAUUGACUAAUGAAAAUAAUUCUGUAUGCCUAAAAUUCAGGAUCUACGCAGUCGCACCUACAAUAGCAGAAUACAUUUAAUUGUCGAAAUCGUGGCACAUUGGUUCAGUCCAGUUUGAUCUGAACAAUUCAUUUCAAAACAUUUUAAUUUGAAAUAAAUGGCAAGGUCAUAUGCAUUAUCUGAUUUGAACUACUAAUUGUACUGUGCAUCUACAGGUUCCCUCAUCCAAAAAGUCAGGAUAGUGUCAAAGCUUGGCCCUAUCCCUUUGCAUUCGAAGCGGCAGGAAUGCGCCUAGACUUCGAUCUAUGCUCAGUGGACAAUCAUUCUUGUUUUCCUUUUUCUCUUCUUUUAUUUAAAAUCAUGUAAAACGUGUAUUUAGAUACUUGAAGAACACCACAAAAAAUGAAUGGCCAAUAUUGAUCUAUUAGUACCGUACUGUAUUUUAGGAUCCCCCCUCAUUGUUUACCUCUCAAGAAAAGUUUGAUGGAGUGUCAUCAUCAUUUUGCAUAUUGAACUUUAUCAUGUUAUUCCUUCCCAAAAAAAAAAAAAAAAAAAAAAACUUUAUCUUGUUAUUGUAGUGCUACAAAGUGCAGACUUCAUUACAAGACAGCAAUCUUUUCUCACUUUUUGGAUGUAACACAAAAGGUUUGGCACACAACAUUACAUUUCAGAUUUUUUUUUUUUUUUAUGUAGCAUGGACAGGGACAAAUCUGGAAAAUUGGGGUCAAUUAAUGAUUUUAUGAGGAUGUUGAUAUUUGACAAGAGUUGGAUUUCCAAAAUUAACUGCAAUUACAAGACAAUGGACUACUAAACCAAUUCUUAGCAUGUGGAUGUACAAAUCUAACUAUUUAGUUUGCAUUAGCAAAAGUAGAUGCAUGCACCAUCAUGUGAUUAAAACAGAAGAAAAAAACAAAAGCUUUAAGAAUGUCGAAGUUAUUUCGGCAUUUUUCUUUUCUUUUGCAACCUUUGUUGUGGGAGUAUGUCAUCGGUAUCAACUUCUAAGCACCUAUUUUUUGAGAAAAUAAGCUGUCUGCUUACCAGGUGACGACCUGUCUGAUCAAGAAUUCCAGAUGCUCCUGAAGCAUAAUUAAUGCCUUUAGUGAUAUCCCGGCCUUCUGUAUUUGCAAAUGGAGGUAUGUAGCUGUCAAAUCCAAGGAGCUCACCUGCCACAAAGAGACGUACACUUUCUAAUUCAUACCACGAAUUAUUGGACCUGGAUCCUGUGCAACCGCAAGGGCAAUUGACAAAUUUGACGCUCCUUCAUUUAUUUAGUCAUAUUUAGAAAAUUUAACUUUUAAAAAUAAUAGUUUAAUUGUGAUUUUUGUGUUUCUUUUUUCUAAUUUUAUUCCAAUAAAUUUGAAAUUUAAAUUUAAAUAAUAACAUAAAUAUGAUUAAAAAAAGAAUUAUAUUAAAAAAGACACUAAAAUAUAUUUUGAUUUUUUUAUAUACGACAAUUAUUUUAGAACAUUACAGAAUGAAAGUACGACACUUUCAAUAUCAUGAUAUGAAGGGAAUAGUUUAGAUCAGUCCAACUAAAUUUGAAUUGAUCUCAACGGUUAACUUAAAAUUUAUUGAGUUGUUAUCGGCCGUCGAAUGGCCCAUACGGUUGUACGUAUAACUGCAACGGGUCCAAAUCCCAAACUGUUGAUGUUGAUGUAUAACAUACAGGGCUGAGGGCACCAAUGAUUGUCGUUGAGAACAGUUCUGAAUUGAAUUAUGUAAUAUUUUUUUGAAUAAAAUAUAAGUCUACAUAAAUUAUUUGUAAAAUUUAAUAAUAGAGACAUAAUUAUUACAUAUGGAAUUUACAUAAAUAGUAACAAAAUAUCACAUCCAUAUUAUAAAGAUGUAUAAAAAAAUUUACAUAAAAUUAUAAAAUAUUUAAAAAAUAUUACACUGUUUCCCGCUCUCAUAACAUACGAGAUGGCAUGCACUAACUAGCAGCUUGCCGCCUAUGGGAAAAUGUCUAUAAGAAAAAAAGUCUUUCUGAAAGACAAUAUAUAAACAAAAAAAUUCUAUAAUAUAUAGAAACAGGGGUUAAUUUCACUUUGUCCCCCCAAACUUUGGACGAUUACCCACUUCAGUCCCUAAACUUUAAAAUGGGAUACUUAAGUCCCUAAAACUUAUAAAUUGGGACACUUAAGUCCCUAAACUUAUAAAAUGAGUCACUUAAAUCCCUAAACUUAUAAAAUGGGACAAUUCGACCACCAACGGCAUUCAGGAUUCUGUCAACAAUUUUCCUUAAUUGGGAAGUAUUUAUAAGUUUAGGAACUUAAGUGUCCCAUUUUGAAGUUUAGGGACUGAAGUGGGUAAUCGUCCAAAGCUUGGGGGGACAAAGUGGAAUUAACCCUAGAAACAGUGACCAAGUCAAGAAUUUAUGAUAACAGCAGUGACUCGUGAAUAUUGAAUUAAUUCUUUACGAGUCUUAAAAAUAAUAGAAAUUAAAGAAGUCCGGAAAGCAAAAAUCGGGGGAUUUUUAGGGCGAGGGGGGUGAUUCUGAUAUAUGUCAUUUUAGUCAAAAUAGCAUGGGCACAAGAGAAGGUCAUUUUACAAAAACUUCAAAACUUAACAGAGAGAGAGUUAAAAGAAUAUUUUAAAACUUAGGGGGUGCAGCUCUUGGUCGCCUGCUGCCUCAGCCUCUAAUAAUGGAUAGGAUAGGAAAGAGAUAGUCACCAAUGAAGUCUGCAGGAUUUCGGCCAUUGGUGAAGCGACCGGUUGGACCUUCUGGGAAAUCAAUGCCGUAAGGUGGAUAAUUUGCCCUGGCAGUUGUGUUCAGGUGAUUAUUGUUGCCAUUGUCAUCUUGCGAGUCUCCAAAAAUGAAGUAGCAAGGGACCUGUUGUUCGCCUAGGGCAAAUGGUUUCAAGAAACAGACAACCACUACAAUGAUGGAUAGGAGAAACCAUCGCCUGGCUGCAAAAGCCAUGAAUGCAGAUUGACAAGAAGAAAAAGGCAAUGGUAGGUUUAGCAAGUCAGAGGAAAAGGCAAAUAUGGAGGCACCAAGGAUGCAGAGCGGGAGCCAAUAUUUUAUACAAGGCGGAAGCACUACUGUAAUUGGUCGAUUCUGUGGAGUGAAUUGGAACUCGUCAUUUCUUAGACAACUGAAUUUUGUACGUGACUGUAAAAAGUAUUUUUCUGGUCAUUUUGUUUGUGCAUGAAGAAAACUUUUUCAGUGUACAUACUACAUACUAUCAUUAAAUACACAAUUUGUAAUAAUAGUGUGUUUGGACAGCCAAUUAUUUGGCCAAAUAUAUUUGCUGACAUCACCAUCACAAUUUUCAAUACACUUUUUUAUCUUCUCAAUUACCUUUUUAUCUCACAUACAUCACAUCACAAAAAGUGCUAUAGUAAAAAUAUUUCAAAUAACUUACAAUCCAAACACACUCGUGUUUCAGAGAUAAUCAUGACGUUGAACCAAAUGAUAGUACUAUUUUUGUGUACUGUACAACUAUAGAUCAUAAUUGAAGAUCGGUUAUUUAUUUUUACAUAUCAAAAGUUUGAAGAUUUUUCAUUUAUUUUCAAAUAACACUUAAUUUAUACCGACUUUAAGAAAUUUUCAAUAGAAAAAAAAAAAAAAAAAAGAGUUGGGGCCUGGGGUAGCAAUUACCCGCCCUCGAUUGGACAUGGUUCCGCCCUGAUUCUGCCAGCCAUUAUUUAUGCACUACAGCCCACAAUAAUGCAGAAAGUAGUUACCAGCUGGAUUUUUAAUAUUUAAUUGGCCUAUGCUUUAACUUUAUACUGGAGCCAGUUGAAUUUUUAUUGUCCUUUGGUAAAUCCGACAAGGAUUACUGAAAAGUGGGGGGUGACGGUUUUGCACAUCACAUCAAUGUCCAAUGCAGUACUGCAUGCGAAAGCACUGCAAUGGAAUGGCCUUCUCAUCUUAAACAAGUUUCCGGAGUUGGAUGCAGCAGGAAUUCAAAAUUCCAUAUGUAGUAAAAAUUUUUUUUAAAAAGGUGUUAGAGCACCUCUUUAAUUUAGUUAGAUUUGCAUACCUGUUAAUUGCUUAUAUAAUCUCUUUAAACUUCCCUUCCUUGCAAAAUAUAGAAUAGAUUAGAUUAUAAAUAUAUUAUAAAAAAAUAUGUACACCGUCCUCUCUAAACUCUCUUCUCUAUAAAAUAGGAUAUAUUAUAUUAUAAAAAUAUUAUCAAAAAUAUGUACACUGUCCUCUUUAGACUCUUCUUUUUGUAGAAUAUGAUAGAUUAUGUUAUAAAAUGGUUGUAGCAAAAAAAUAUAAAAAAAGUACAACGCCUUCAAUAUUACUCUGUAACCUACUUUAUUUGGAUUGAGUGUUUUUUUUUUUGACAAAUUAUUUUUGUUUGUGAAAUUUAUGGUAACAAACUUCAAAAAUAACUCUAAAAACACAUAAUUUCAAAUACAACUUAUAAAAAUAAAAAUUAAACUAAAAAAAUUAAAUAACAAAUGUAACAAAUCCUAUCAUCCAUUUUUCUUCUAUUCACUACCCAUGACAUACCAUUACCUACCAUUAUCCAUGUCCUCGUCCCUCCUCCUCUGCCUCUUCCUUCUCCUCCAUUUUUCUUUUCCUCCCCUUCCCUCUCCUCUCCCUUCCACUGCUGGCCCCAGCCAAGCCUUUCCCCCCUCUUAUUUCCCUUUUGGUUGCAACCAAAAUGUCACGAGAGAUCCGGUUGCCACCAAAAGAGGAAGAAAUAGGAAGGGGGGUCAACGAGAGGUGAGAGAAGGAAAGAAAGAGGAAGGGCGAGGAUGGAAGAGAGAGGAGGGGAAGGGGAUAGUGACAACAGUAGAGGAAGGAGUAGGGGAGGGUAAUGGACUAUUUUAAAACAAAUUUAUAAAAAAUAUUUAAAAAUUUUUAAAUUCUAAAAAUACCUCAAAACACAGAAUUCAAAUGAAUAAUCUACAACAAAUUUUUUUUACAUAUAUUGCUACAGUAAAUUUUUUGAAAAAGAACCCUAAAAAUAUCUAAUUCAUAUGGAGUUUACAAAGAUAUUUUAAGUUUCUAGUUGGAUAUGUUUUAUGCUCGAAUGCUCAAUAUAAUUCCAAUUAUAAAUUAUUGGCACCACACCACAAUUCAGAACAUAUUACAUAUGGAAAGGAAUAAGCAUUCCAUGAUGAAGAGGUAGAUGCCUUGUUUUUUUAAGCAAUGUAGUGGUUGAUGCGUGAUAGCCGUUUACCAGUUAUUAAUAAGACUCAUAGUCAAUUUUGUCUUAAGUUACGGAACAUAUUAUUAAUAUUAAUAGUUAUAAGGGUAAAGUGUGUGUGGGUCAUCAAACAUUUCAAAAUUUUCAUUUCGCCUACAAAAUUAUUUUUCGUAUCGAAUAUCCCACCGAAUUUCUAAAUGUUCUUCAUCUUGAUCACUCCGUUAACUCUAACUGCUAAAAUGGAUAGAAGUUAGUCCAUUUGACAGGCCGGCCUGCUUUAAAUAGAUAAUUUGGACAUUUUGCCUGAAACCAUCCGACUCUAGCUCGUUUGGGAGGACGGAUUUGGUGAGAAAAGAAAGAACUAAGAAAGAAAGUAAAAUCAUUUAGCAUUUGGGAGUUUUAAUAGCAAGGAAAUAGAAAGAAAAGGAAGGAUCUCACGUCCUUUCAAGUUACAAAAACCCUCAGCCCAAAAUUAGGCGAAAAGCAUGAGAAAGGAAAGUGAAUUAAAUUUGAUGACCUAUUGACAAAAAAAAAAAAAGGAAAGUGAAUUAAAUAAAUAUUUUAAUAUAUCGAUUUUGCCUUUAUAAAGAUUAUAACAUAACAUUUUCCUAUAUUAGGUGAAUUUCAAGUUUCAAGGGUACUAAUGUAAAAUAGAAUCUUUUCCUUUUACUUCUCUUCACUCCCAAAUAAAAGAUACUCACUUCAUUAUCUUUCUUUGCAAAAACUCCCAAAUAACAUGAAGAAAUAUUACAAUCUCUUCUUCUCUUUUCUAACUUAAGCUUUCGCUUCUUUUCUAUUCUCUCCCAAACUAGCCAUUAAACUUUCAGCUCCCCAUUCGAUGACCCAUUUCUUGUUUAUCUAUUUUCUCUUGGAAUCUAACUCAAUCAUUCUCUCCAAGCCUUAAUAGUUUCUUUUGUAGUCUUGAAUUUUUUUUUUUUUUUUAGUCUCCUGUACAUACAAGUGAGGUUGGGGCAACUUACAUAAAUUUUGUUUCUUUUUUCUAUUGGGAAUCUUUAGAAGGAAACUCUUUAAAAUUUGUGGUGCUCUCCUUUGGUCUGGCUGUCAAGAUUUGAGGGUUUUCUUUUCAAUGCAAUCCUUUGAUUAUUGGCGUUUCUUUAAACCAAUGACACUGAAAAAAAAACCUUGAUCUUAGUGAUUAAUUUUUGUACUAAUGAUUUUAACAUUGAAAAUUUCAUGGGUUUCAGUUUUAAGAAGUAUUACACUCUUUUGGACGUAGCUACUAACUAAACAUAAAGCAAAAACCAUAUACCAGCAAAUAAGUAGGUGGGCUUCAUGCAAAACAUUCAAAUUGUCCAUUCAGAGGCGUUAAUUGUCGUCUAUCUUAACAGCAAAAGCUAAUUGAAUGGACAGUAUGAAGCACUUAAAGUUCAAUGUGCUAUUUGACCUGAAAAAUAUAUAUUUCAGUGAAUGAAAUAAGAAUCUUGAAAACUCUCCUGUGUUCCUUACCCUAGUCAUAAUUGAGGAAAAGUUAAAAGCCCAAAUUGGAUGAUCGCUUUCUAGGGUGCUUUUAGAGAAUAUAAUUGUAAUGCACUUUUCAAUGAAUAUAUACGUGACAUGGAGUGAUAAUUGGGUAACGUGUUUAAAAAUUUUCAAAAACAUACUAGCAAUUUUUUUUGGGGGGGGGGGCUGUUCUCGGACUGAGUAUUUCACUUGACUUCAAAUUCUGAUGUUACAUAAUUCAUGUUUUUUGACAUUCGUUCUCUUACGUUUGUGCAUAGAUUUAGAUUUUUUUUAAUGGUGAAAAAAAUGUUGGAAGUCCUGAACUUAAAUAACAGUAACUUUUGCUCAUUCUAAUUAAUUAGCUUUUUAUAAAAUUCACAGCUGACAACUGCCUUUCUUGUAACAGUAAAACUCACAAUUGCAUGUAUAAUCAUUUUCAAUCACCCGAUUACCUUCAUCAAUCCAUUAUUAGGUCUUCGAAACAUGCCAAUCCCAAAAGGACACCUCUUAAAGUGUAAACCAAUGUCCUUGGCUAAUGCAUCACAUAUAAAGUGAAUUUUAAUUUUAUGCACCGAGUACACCCAAUAAUGUCAUGGGCUGAAGCCUCAUAUAAUUUAUCUCACCAGAAUAUAGUAGGGAGUUUGUUAGGCGGAGAAUUUCGACAUAGAAAACUUUGUUUUUUUUUUUUUUGAGGGAUCCACAUAGAAAACUUACUAACCUUUUUCCUUGUCGUGUAUCCAUUUUACACGGUUUAUAGGGCUAUAUACCCCAUAUUCCGAACUCUAUGGCAGACAUGACAGUAGCUCAAAUUCAACGAGCAAUGGGAGAUGCCAGGAACGAUAACCAUGAAGCCAUCAAAAUGGCAAUUGUACAAGUCUUGACAUGUAGAAAAAAAAAAUCAUUAUCCACUUAGAAUUUUCCCUGUACUUUCAGCCAAUCUCCAACCACAAAUCUGCCCAAACUACCAAACAAAUUACUCAGUUGUUUUUACUUGAAGUGGCAGAGCCAUCUCAUUACGAGAGUAACAACUCAUAUGGGUUGGCCUACUCUCAGAACUCUUCACAUGUGAAACAGGAGGUGCACAGGAAAAAAGGGUACAAAAGGACCGUUGUCAUUAACGGACAAUUUUGUCUCCCAGCUAGAUAUAUAAUGUCCCAUUUCCAUUUAUCAUGUUCUUGAACCAGAGAAAUCAUCAAGUCUCAAAUAAACACAUAUAGAGUAGUAUUCAUUCUUACUGCUAUAUUUUUUUUUAUUUAACUUUCAUCUUGUACUUGUUUAUUUUAAUUAUGGUACAAGGAGCAAUUUGAAUAAGCAUUGUAUGACUAGUUAGAUUGAAGCUAUGAUAUGAGAAACUUGAAUAUGGGUUUUGUAAACUACUGUACUGUUGGGGAGAAAACCCUGAGAACCAAAUAAAGAGGUCCAAUAUAUGAAUGCUCAUAUUACACCCAAGUUGCUUCCCUAGUCCACCGCAAUACUCAAGACUAAUUCAACUAUUUGGAGCUAAAUCGUGGACCCUAUUUUCUUCAACACGUUAAUAGAAUCCCCGUCAAACCCCUAGUUCCAAGAUAUAUACACCAACUAGACUUAACAUAUUACUGGCUGCAUGGCCCAACAUAAGACGAUAACAAUCUAUCCGUCCGACAAAAAGAUAGCAAUUUACUGAUCUAUUAUUGAGAAGAAACAACUUGCAAAUAUGUAGCCUAGACUCAAACUCGAAACCUUUUUAUAAAGUGUAAAAUGAAAGAUCUCAAAUUUAGAAUCUCUCACUUACACUCUCUUCUUCUUCUGUACUAUUCAAUCUAUCCCUUUUCCAUAACUCGAAAACUUUGAUACCAUUGGUUGAGAAAAAAAAAAAAAAAUCAAAGAGAGCCCAUCAUAGAGGCAUAAAAUAUUUGGGAGCCUAAUGCCGAUGCAAAAGGUUAAAUUGAUAGGUCUUAAACCCUUAUCUAUAUAUUAAAAACUCUUUUUUUUUCUCUAAAAAUAAGGUAGGAUAACUAAUUUUACUCAUGAACCUAAAAAUUGUUCAAUUUGAUGGACCGGGAAAUGAACUUGCCCAGUUAACUUAGUCUAAUGUCUAGUUGACUCAUGAGACGUGUCCAGUUUCAUUACUUUGGAACUCCAACAUAAACUUACCAUGAUCACUUCAGAAGAAAAUAUUAUAUAUGAAUUUCCUCCAAUAGCCACUUUCCUCCUUAAUUCAAACAUAGACUUCCUUCCUUUAGCUAAUACACCACUCUCUAUAAUUCAGACCCCAUUCCAGCAUCUAGGAGGAAUAUUCCACCAAAAUGUGAACCCCCAAAAAAAAAAAAACAAAUAUGUAAUAGACUCUUAGGUUAAUGUGGUAUGGCUGAUGAAGCCAGUAAUAUAUACAACCACACAAUUGAAGAUAAGAGUUGAUGGUUCGGGAGGCAAUGAUCAUUUUAUGGACGAGAUGCGAGUAAAGUUGCGGGUAAUGUCCGGCAAUUAUAGCAAGACUUUUCAUGUACUGUUGUCCUACUCUAGUUUUGUUCGGUAUGAAAUGGUAAACGAUUUCAUCUCAGGAUUUUUGUCUAAAGAACGUCAACGUCUAAACAGCUGCAAAGCAAUUUACCAAUUUAGCAUACAAUAACCCUUCGCGCAAUUUAGCAUUUAACCUAUUUCCAAAGCACCAUUAAAUCACUAUUAGUUUCCUUCUUUAAUUGAUUUAUGUUGGCAAUCAUUUCUUUAGCUUAUGAUAAGUGAAUAAUUUACGUAAUAAUUGUAUGAUAUUUUAUAUUAUUUUUAGUCACUUUGGUUAUAUUACUGGAAAAAAAUGAAUCAUUUUGGCUAUAAUUGGUGAAAAAUGCUUUUAAGUGGUUAAAUAAGGUUUUUAUCACUUUUUACUUGGAUUUUAUGCAUUUUGACAGUUUUGACACAUUUUCAUAUUUCGGCUAUAACUUGAGCUACAAUGAUCGGAUUGAGAUGAUUCUUAAACCAAUUUGAAGAUAAGAGAUAGAUCUACAACUUUGUUGAAGACAUCUGAAUCCAGUUUGAAGGUUUUCCAGGUCAAAAAGCCGAAUUACAAUAGCUAAUUUCUAUUGGUCGAAGCUGAAACAGAGAAGUGAGCAGUCAAGGAUAUUUUGGUCAUUUCUCAACCUACACAGAUCCAAAUAUGGUGAUUCUUGAUGCAUUGGAAAGAUAACUCAAAGGGCUACAAGUUUUAUGUUUUGGUCAAGAGCUAAAUCAUCUUUUAUCAUCAAGAAAAGUUCAGUUGAAGUUGACGCAAAAUCGGAGCAGAGCUGGAAAUUGAACAAAAGUGUACCAAAAUGUCACUGUAGCAAUCCGGUCGGAACUUAGCCGGAUUUCUGGCCGGAUUGUGGUCAGAGAAGGCUGCUCUUUACGCGGAAAACUUAUUUUCACCUCCAACAAGUCACAUGCAAUGCCAGACAUGUGAGAACUACUUUGCAGCUGUAAAAGGGUGGUGUAGGCCUCAUUUUCUUGAUUUCUUUCAUCUUUAUAUAGCCAAAACUUGCAAGAUUGAAAGAAGAAUAGAGAGACAUACGGGAGAACUUGGAGAGUGCAGAGAUGUAACUCUUACAUCUUUUGAGUGUUAGAUUAGUUUUAAUAUAGAUUAGUAUAGUUCAUCCAUUCUUGUAUAUUGGCUAGACUAGGAUGAAGAUGGAAAUGAAGAAGGAGGAGUUGAAGCUCAAGUGACAUGGGUUAUCUCUUCUCCAACUCUUUAUUUUUUGUACUUGAUUCCAAGUUUAGUUAAUAUGCAAAUUCUGGAUUUUGUGUUUAAUAUGUGUCUCUAAAGUUUAUGCCUUGGGUUUGGUUGAACUUUCUAUAAUUGUUAGUGUUUAUUAUUUGAUUAUUUGAUUGCUAUGCUUUGAGCAAGUUAUUUAGCACUUUGACUCUUUAAAUCAUGAUUAAUUUGGUCCCAUUAAUUGUGAUUAUCUAAGGUGUUGUUUCUGCAAUGAAAAUUAAGAUUUAAUACUACUAGUUCAAGAAGUGCUAAACAUAGGGAGUACACUAACGAAAGUAGAGGUGCACCUAUGUGGUUUUUAGUGAUUCAUUUCAUGUAAUUUCACUAAAGAAAUGAACUUGUAACUAAUUUCAUAACCACGAGAAUAGGUAUGGAUUAGUUAUAAGUAUAAUUGAUUCACUACGAAAGUAAGAUUCAAAUGCAUAAGGAAAUUACACCAUAACUAGCCUAGAUAUAAUACUCAAUGAUCCAAAUAUAGCACUUGCAUGAGUAGUUGGGGAUACCACAAUCUAAGGAGCUUUUAUUUGUUAUUUUGUAUAAUUUCAGUAGGUUAAAUUUGUUAUAAUUCGUUAAUAGUCUAAAUAAUAGAGAAGCUUUAUUAAUACAGGUAAUUGUUCACUCUUUCUCAUGGGAUCGACCCGAUAUAUAUCCUAAACUACUAGUUGACCUAUAUACUUGCAGUGAACGAGUGUAAUUCAGUUUUUAACUUGCGCGUAUAUUAAAAUCCCGUCAGCUUAAGAAGUUCCUUGUUUAAAAUCUUUUCCAUCUCUACAACUGUCCUUGCAGGAAUGUGAUGCAGUGGCAGAAGAUUAUUUCUUUGCAUACCCUGACCAGGUCACCUAAAAUAAAUGUACAGACUGAUUUUUUUGGGGGUUACAAAUUUGUAUAUUAUUUGGUUGAAUGGCUACCCACAUCAAAGUAUUCAGAUAAUAUAAAGUUCAUAAGUUCACAAAAAAUAUCCAAAAGAUUAAGGGAGAAAAAAUAUCCAAAAGAUUAAGGGAGUCAUGGAUUUGAUGAAUGUCUGAUAUGAAUCUUGGGUUGACUUGGUUUAUUAUCAUAUUAAAUUUCACUUUUAGACACUUUCUGCUCUUAAGACCUUCAAAUUUGUUCCAUUUAAAUUCAAUCGAUAAUAUUAUUAACAAGACUAACAGAAUAGGGAUACAGUGCAAAUCAAUAACAAAUUGAUGAAUAAGGUUAGAAAGAGUAAGGGGAUUGUAAUUGGAACAAAAUUAUGCAUUCAUACGUACACAAAGCAUAAAACAUGAUAAUUAUUCAUUGCUGUAAAAAGUGAAAGCGGUGGUAGUUUAACUUAGUAAUUUAACAUUAAACAAGAAAAAGAAGUACAACUUCUGAACAAGUCUUUGGUACAUCACGUUUUGCAGUUACUCAGACACUCAACAACAACUCAACAGUAAAAACAGCAAAAUGUAAAUAGUUAUUAAGCAGGUAGACCCUGCAAGACUCUUCAUUUGAUGAAAAUUCUCCAUGUUCAAAGUUGAGCUAAGCGACUUAUGUCAAUUGGAUAUGCAUCUGAUGACUUUUGAGCCCUGUAUGAUCUUCUCCCAACUAUGAUAUUUGCAGCUUCAGUUGGAUGAAAUGCAUCCCAAAAUAGAUGCUGAUUUCUGUUAGGACAUGGAGUUUGAAAAGGAAGACAUGUUAUCUGGCCAUUGUUUCUCCCAACUCCACAGCAACCUCUAUUUGUCACAGUGAAACCUGCGCAGAAAAUUAAAUAUAAUUCGAAGCCAGCCAGAUGCAUUUUCCAACCCCCUCCAAGAGUUGAAUUUUCGUAGUUAACAUAACAUUUUGAAUUUUUUAAAAUUUUUAUUUGUGAAGUAAAAAAUUGCAUCAACUCAAACAAUAAAUGUGCAAAUAAAUUUCUAGGAGAAAUGGCAUGGAAGUUACCAAAAGCAGAGGGACUGCUGAUUAAAUCCUGGAAAAUCCCAUAAGCAUCAAUGUAGAUAAAUCUUGCAUCAGUGAAUUGAUUGUUCAAGGUGUCCACUAAAGACUUAAGUUUGCUAUUGAACAUCUGAUUUGCCGAGUUGAUUCUGGCCACACAAGUUCUGCCAUCAGGGCUAUUUUGGGCUAAUUCAUUUGGACUGCAUCCAAUUUGACCCACUCCGAUCAAAACAAGCUUCCUUGCUCCAAGGUUAUACAAUCUCUAUCGACAAUCAUAAACAUCAAAAUGUCAAACUUAGAACUUUAGAAAGAAAAAAAAAUUAAAGGAACAGUUCUAUUCUAUGAAAUAUGAAUAGGGCUUGUAAAGAACUUUAAGAGGAAAAAAAAAGAAGAAGGAAAUACAUGAAAGAGUAAUUAAAUGAAAGAAAAGAUCGAUAAAGGAAAAACCAACAAGAACUUUUAAAAGUUAGAACUGCUUCUCGAUCAUUUAUUUUCCCUUUUUAGUAAAUUAAAACAAACAGGUGGCUAAGCAGACUGCGUUUAAGUUAUUUUAUUUGAUUCUAUUUUUCUGUUUGUUAUUCUUCAUAGUGCUUUAAAAGAUUUGUUCACAGUUCCUCAUUUCCAGCUCAUAAUUAAUAUCACCUAAACUAUUGUCCUUCUGCCCAAGUCAAAAGGGAGGUCGGUCGACUGGUACAACAUUGGAAAAAACACCCUUAGAAUACGCCUAAGCAAUAAAUACAACUAGCUUUUGUUCAAAGAGGCAGAGACUUCUGAAACAAAUUGUGCGUGAAAUUGUCCAAGAAAUUAAUUCCUCAUGCCGUCACGCAUAGUAGCUUUUGCUACAGCAUGAUGAUCAGAAGUCGAAGGAGACUAGAAGAGUGCAAUUACAUCUCUAAGCAUGACAUAAUGUACAUUUGCCUUUUCAUUUCUUUGCCUUUUCAUUUCUUUCUGUCCUCUUGCCUUUUUUUUUUUUUUCCCCUUCUUCAUUUAUCUCCGUAUAAACAUAGAGUUACUUAAAUUCUCUACCCAAGCAUGCAUCAGCAAAUUUUUUCUCUAUCUCAUCACAUGAUAUGAUAUAUGAAUGGGAUAAUUAAAAAUUUUAGUCAUGGAAAAAUAUGAGUGUCUCACCCUUAUUUGUUGAGAAUACUGGCCAAUAAGAGCAUUAGCAAAUUGCUCAGGUGUGAAUUGUCUGCUGCUUGAGUAGAAUAGAGGCAUGAAAUAAUUGUUAAGAUAGUCAUUGCUGCCAAGUCCAACUGAAUAUAUGCAUUUGCUAAGGUAAGCUGCAGCACGGUUUUGGUCUCCAAGUAAGCUCACAAUUUGAGAAACUGUGCUGUUGUAAUUAUUCACCUGCCCAGUAAAACUAGUUCUGGCACCCUAUGUGAGAGAAUUCAUCAGCACCUUCAUAUGCAUGUAGACCAAAAAAAAAUAUAAUGUAGUUGUCAAAAACAAAGUAAUCUUUUGUAGUAUUACCAAUUGCUGGCCAGUUUCUUCUCUAAUUCCAGCAGCAGCUGAAGCAUAAUUUACUCCUUUGAGUAUGUCUUGGCCCUGGGCUCUUGUGAAGGGUUGAAUAUAUCCAUUGAAUCCCAGUAGCUCAGCUGAUGAUGAAGCAAACACAUUGAUUAGGAAUAAUCAAAAUGAAAAUAACACAUAAAUUAAAAUAUACGUGUGUGUAGAUUAAUACAUGUGUGUGUAUAUAAAAAAAAUGUUAUUUGCAUUCCUAUUUUUUGUUAAUCACACUCUCACUAUCAUUUUAAUCAUAUAACUUUCAUUUAUUAAACUAUAUGAUAAAAUAAAUAAAUAAAAAUUGGGUGUAAUGUGUGUGUGUGUGUGUGAGUGACGGAACUAAAAAAAAAAUUAACUAGUAUACAAAAUCGAUAUUGAAAAAAAAAAAAACCUUUAUACUGCUACGAGAAUUACCCAACAUCACUCUAUAUGCAGUAUGUUUCCAAACUUUACUUGCUAGCCAGAUAUUGCAGUAUCUCGAAAGCGUUCUUGCCAAUGCGGAAAAUAUACGUAGUAAAAUAUAGUAUUACGUGAGACCAUAAAGCGAAUACUUUCUUUGACAUGCAAUUAGUAAACAAUGAAGAACAUGUAGUCAUUAACCGCAUGAAAAUGAUAGUCAAGAGAAUAUGCACAAAAGCAGCUCAUCAUUAGAUGUGACAAGUUCUACGGAUAUUUGCUAAUUCUUCGAAUAUAUAUGUUAUGACUGCAUAUUCAUGGUAAUCUUAUUUUUAAUAUUGUCAAUAUGAAGUUGACCUAAUUUCAGAAUUAGGAAGCUGAUAAAUAUUAGUACCUUUUAAAUAAAGAGAAAGUAUAGAUAUAUACGACCAAUCAAGCAACAAAUUAGUGAGAAAGUAAUAGAGAGGGGGUUCAAAACUCACUUAUAACAUCAACGGUAGUUUUUCCAUUACAAAACCUUCCAGUUGGUCCACCAGGAAAAUCGAUUCCAUAGGGCAAGUAAUUAGCUUUAGCCAAAGAAUUGAUAUUGUUGUUGUUACCAUUGUCCACCAGGGAAUCUCCAAAAAUAAAGUAACAUGGAACCUGGGGCUGUGCUAAAACCCCGUUCGGCACCGCCACCACCACCAUCACAACAAACCCCACCAAGAAUUUCUUGAACUCGGCCCCCAUUUGCAACAUAUUUUAGAAUAAAACAAAAGGGAGUUGAAAGAAUUUUGUAGCUAAAAAAAAAAGGGGCUAGUACUAAAAGGUGGUGGACUCCUUUUAGCUAUUGAGUGAUGAAAUUCUAGGAGCAUCGAGUGUGUUAUUUAUACACAUAUUUUAAGGUCAGACUUGAAAGGCUUGGCAAACAAUUAAUAGGUGUGCAGCAAUUGGUUCUGGGAGUCAAUCAAUCAAGCAAUUAGUAACUUUUAUGGGUGAGAAGUAACGGUGCAUUAAAUUUAACGCGGACAGACUUUGAGUUUCUUUACAGUUUACACUGAAGUCCAAACAGAGUUUGUUUGAAAUGGUCGUCAAUUUGACAAUCGCCCUUUUUGUCUGCACCGAUUGCGAGCGCCAAAGAAGUCGGUACAAGCAUACUUAUAAAGUCCCUCCCGGUCGAGUCGGCCAACCCGAUUUAUCCGGUAGGAUCGAAUUGAUCACUAAUUAGGUGAGUUAAGCAAUAGAUUCAUCUGAUCAACGAUUCAGCGGUUGGAUCACCGAUUUAAAAUAUUGAUUAUUUUUAUAAUUUAAAAUAUAUUAUUAUAUUUUAUAAUAUAACUGUUGUGCAACCUGCGAUUGAACUGGUGAUCCAAACACCUCUUCGGAUCGGGUUUUAAGUCGGGUUUAAGAGUACAAGGUCCAUUUUUCCAAAGAAGUUUUAUCGUUUUGGGCCUCGUUUGUUAGUUUAGCCGAGAGAGAGAGAGCUUAAAUUGCGAGAUAAAUAUAAUUUGACUUUGAAUUAUUCCGAUCAGAGUUAAUCUACUUAAAUUGUUUGGGACAUUUGCAGAGAGAAAUUAAUUUGAAUUUAUGAGUAUUACAGUUUUCUUCUUGAAAGUUUUAUGGACAAGGUAACUUUUCUUUCAUUUCUCUUCAUUUGGCAAAAGACGUUUUUAGUCAUUUUUGCAUUCCAUUUCUUCCUAUACUCUAGAAUAUUUACUUUAUUUUGUGCUUCCAACUAGUGUAGGAUAAAAUUUCACUAUCAUUAAUUAUAGAUGCACUCUUACUUUAUAGGUGACACAUUAAUUCUUAAAGUAUAAAAUCCAUCCCACUUUGAUUAUUAAACUUUGAGCAUCACUUGCCUACUAUUAUGUUAGCUAGUUUUGACAAUCGGUUACAUAUUUUAAGGGAUAAAAUAUCCAAAGUUGAAGUUUAAGAACUAAACUCCGAUUAUACACUUCAGAAAGUAAAGAGCUCAAAAUUAAAACUAACUUAAAAAUUAAAGUGGGCCGGGAGUGCAUCGAUAGCUUAAAAUUGAUCCAGAUGAGCUGAAUUAAGGGGAUGUUCGGAUCCCGUUAAAUUAGUUCCAGUCAUGAUCAGUGAAAGCCUUUUCUAGUUUCUGCUGCAUGUACCAUAUUGAGAUAAAUCCUAGUGACCCUAUACGAAUUGUUUGAUAAUUUCUGAAUAAACUCUUUACUCGUUUCCUUCCGGAGAAAAAGGUUUGCUGCAUCUGUUCGUAAAAUAAAAAUCAUUUGGAUUUGUCUUGUAUUCAAGAUAAUUUAAAACGAACACAUUUAUGUUUACUUGCAAAAUUAAAAACAAUUUCUCACUUCUCCAGUUCACAAGGAAAGACAAACAAAACAGAAACGACUUAAAAUUCACAAUCACAAAUAAAAAAGACUUGAAUAAUCAGACUGAUGGGUCUAGUUUGCACGAGGAGCUUUGAGCACUACAUUUUAUAAACAUCUAAGAAUACGUAUCGAAAUCCAAUCUGAUGCUUCGUCGGUCAUAAUUCAUAAGUCGCCAAGUAUCUAAUUCCCAUCAAAGCAGCAGCCAAAUUCCUGGUUGAACUUUGGACUUGAUUUCCGAAUAAGGUUGUUAAACUUGGACCAGUAAGUGAUCAGCUAAUGGAAUAUCGAGUCGAUCGUGACAUUAACCAGUUCAACCAAUUAAACUGGUUGAGUUACCGCUCCACCUUUUUUUUAAUGUAUUUUAAUAUUUGUUGUCCAUGGAUUUUUCUCAAAUGAUAUAAUGUUGGACAACAGAUUACUUAAACUACAAAAAUGUAUAAGCUAAGCCUCAAAUUUACCUAGUACUAAUUAACAAAACAUAGAAUAUUAAUGUAAUUAACUAAAGAAAACUAAGCAAUUUCGAAAGUAGCACUGAUCAAUUAUUAACAAAAACAUAUAUUUGUAUCAUACAUCGUAUACAGGCAAAACUUGAAGGUCUAAUAAAUUAACAUGGUGAAAGAAAUAGUUCAAAAUUGGGGAUUUAUCAUUUAAUACAAAUAGGACCAAAUAAAUCAUAUUUUUGCAAUGCCAAUGACGUGAGAAGUUUAAAGUUGACACCAAAUGAGUCUUGGAAUAGCCAAAAAAAAAUAAUGAUGAGAGUCCAAAAUUCUAUUGUUAAAAUUUAGAUGAUUUCAUUUCAAAUUACAGUUUUAUCAAACGCACCCUAAAUUCUAUUCAAUUUUCCGCUGCAGAGCACAUAAUUGUAUGUGUACAAAGUUGUUAAGGAUAUCAUCUCUACAUACGGUGUGAACUAUGUGUAGAGGUUUGAUGUGAUAGUGCUUGGCGUUUGAUUUUAAGAUCGACGUAAUACUUGAAUUUUUGGAUUUCAGUCCUUUCUGAUAAUAAGUAAUGACUAGCAUAUAUUCAAAUACGUCUAGAAAUUAGGCGCACAGAUUCUUAUACAUCAUAGUCUAGAUUUUUAAAUGUGCUGCUUUGAAAUUUGAAAGAACAAAUUCAACAUUUUCCUAAAACUGUAAGAAUGUCAUGGCGACAGUAGACACUAGCCCUUUUAACACUAAGCACUUUUGUUAUAGUUAAGUUUAGAAUGACAUGGAAAACGAUGUAGUUAGAGUAUUUCAAAUUUAUGGGAUUUGAAUAAUUUUCUUCCGAAAAGGAUCAAAUGUAUGGGACAAGUGUUGAGUUGUAGAAAAAUAUAUUUAUGACUUAAAAAUACAUUUUUAUAACCAACAAUUACAAGGAAAGCCUUAAGCUAGAGCAGUAGUAUGGCAUCAAUCUUGCAAGCCAUAACAUCAAGAGGUAGAAAUACAAUAGUGAAAAGAAAGAUUUAAGCAUUGUCUCAAUCAUCUCUUUUGACUCUAAUUUAAUUGAAGUUUACAUCUUCAAAGUUGAGCUAAGCGACUUAUGUCAAUUGGAUAUGCAUCUGAUGACUUUUGAGCCCUGUACGCUCUUCUUCCAACUAUGGUAUUGGCAGCUUCAGUUGGAUGAAAAGCAUCCCAAAACAGAUAUUGAUUUCUAUUUCGACAUGGAGUUUGUAAAGGAAGACAUGUUAUUUGGCCAUUGUUUCUUCCAACACCACAGCAACCUCUAUUUGUCACAGUGAAACCUACACCAGGAAAAAAAAGGGCGAAAAUACAGCAAUGUCAAUUACAAAUAUAUACUUUGAACCAUUUUUGCAAUAUUUCAAAAAUUCUGCUAGUUGACUCUUUUUGGUCAAAAACGAAAACACUAAUAAUCACCAAAUUUUUUUCCAUUGAAAUUUGCAAGACCAUUUAAUACGAGGCUCAAAUUUUUUAUCAAGGGCAUCACAAGUUGAGUUUUGUGUUGUUCAAACCGAUUCAUGUAAUUAUUACUAUAUUUAAUAAAAAUUUGAACAGUUGUUGUAUAAUCGCAAACAUAGUCGUAUGUAUUCAAAAGUUCGAGUUUAAGCCCAAUUGUAUGAGUUUACACCAAAAGCUGUGAGAAUUACAUGAAUUGAGUUAAACUGGAUAGAAUUCAACUUGUGAGGCCCUAAUCCUCAAACUUUAGGUUUGAAAUUGCAAUUUUCUCUUUUAAACUACAUCCUUAAUAGUUAAUUUUGGGAAGUAAUGUGUACAAUACCAAAGCUACCAUCUACUUUCAUAAAUGCUUGAGACCAAUAUCAGCACGAAGCAUUGAAGUAAAGAAUGAUGAUGCUGAGAAAACUGCAAUAAUAAUUUCAGAAACUGUAAGGAGGCUCAUGACCACAAAUCUCAUGAAAGAUUAAAAGUUACCAUUCUUUGUCUUCGUUGACAUCAUUUCAUAAAUGGAAAUUACUCUAUCUAGCAAAGGACAAUCAGAAAAAUAUCAUUUUCUAGGAAAAAUGGCAGGAGAAGUUACCAUAAGAAGAGGGACUGUUGAGUAUAUCCUGGAAAAUGCCAUAAGAAUCGAUGUAGAUAAAUCUUGCAUCGGUGAACUGGUUGUUCAAGGUGUCCACCAAUGCCUUGAGUUGGUUAUUGAACAACUGAUUGGCAUUAUUGAUUCUUGCCACACAGGUCCUGCCAUCUGGGCUAUUUUGGGCCAAUGCAUUUGGGCUGCAGCCAAUUUGACCCACUCCAAGUAGAACAAGCUUCCUUGCUCCGUAGUUGUACAUUAUCUGCCGUCACACGUGUGUCAAAAUUUGGGAAAGCACAUUCAAAAAAUUGGGGGAAAAAAGUGGUUACUACUCUCUUUUUAACUAAAUUUGAUCUACUGCAUUUUUCCUAUUAGUCAUUAAAGUAAUUAAUGAUAAAUUUAAAAGUAAUUUCCUGCCUCACUUUUUGGUUUUACUUUUUCUGUUGGCCAUAAAAAAAAUAGUCUUUUCCAAAAAAAAAAAAAGAGAUUAAAAGAAAAAGAAAAGAGUGGUAUUGAAAAAUACCAAAAUUUUGGUAUUAUUUUACACUAUAUUCUUAACUAAACUAGUCUUUGCCCUCUCUUUUUUCUGAGAGAACUCAGCCCUCCCAUUUUUACAGUUAUCUAAUUUUUUCCCCCAAGUUUUUAAUUUUUCGCUUCUUGCAAAAAACGUAUGCGUUAUUUCUUUCAUGGUGCUUAUAUGCAUAAUGGUUAUCCAAAAAAAAAGUAAGAUACAUGCAACCUUUCUCUACUUUUUGCCAAAUUAUCAUGGUAAUUAAAGAAACAAAUGAUAGAUGCACAUGUAAGGGAACCUACUGUUGAAUAAGAAGCUGAGCAAAUUGAAAUGAGAUUCAUUCACUUACCCUUAUUUGCUCAGCAUACUGUUGAAUCAGAACCUGAGCAUAUUGCUCAGGUGUAUACUGCCUGCUAGUUGGGUAUAUAAGAGGCAUGAAAUAAUUGUUGAGGUAGUCAUUGCUUCCGAGUCCAACUGAAAAUAUGCACUGGCUUAGGUAAUCUGCAGCAGCAUUUUCAUCUCCCAGUAUGUUCACAAUUGCUCUCACUGUGUUUAUGUAGUUCCUCACUUGUCCAGAAAAGCUUAUCCUUUGACCCUAGUUAUAUUAGAAAAAUGGUUUGAUUGAAAAAGGGAAGCCAUAUUUCAUAUGGUAUUUGAUUAAUCAACAAAGGCAAAAAAAUUGGAAAAUUUUUGAAAAAUGGUUAGUUUAGUACCAACUGCCUUCCAGUUUCCUCUCUAAUUCCAGCAGCUGCAGAAGCAUAAUUUACUCCUCUGAGUAUGUCUUGGCCACGAACUCUUGAAUAAGGUGGAAUAUAACGGUCGAAGCCCAAUUCCUCAGCUGCAUGCGCAUAGAAAUAAAAAAAAAAAGAUAUUAGUCAGACAAUUUUUAUGAAUAUCAAAAGACAGAUUCACAAACAUAUGGAACAACAUCCCAUCUUUACAACAUCUAUGAAAUGUCUAGAGGAUUUUUUUUUUUUUUUUUUAGUUUUAUUCAUAGGCAGAAUUAUAAAAUUUCUUCUGAGGGAGUGAACUUUAAAUCAACUAAUCUUUAAUUUGAAAUAUUUUUAAUUUUUCGUGGGGGCAAAAGUUUAACUAUACAUAAAAUUUUAAAAAAAUUCAACUUUUCAAGAGAGAAAAAAAAUUAAUUUUUCAAAACUUUCUUGAGAGAAAGGAUUUUUGGUUGGGGGGGGGGGGGGGGGGGGGGUAGGUGUAGGAACCGCUUCCCGCCACUCCCUAGUUUCGCUCAUGAUUGUACUAUUAUGGAUCUUCUGGUCCAAAAUUUACUUGGUAGAUUAGUGAAGUAAGCAAUUGAUUGCAUGACACGGUACAUAGUGCCAUUUACAUUUAAUGAUGAGAAAGGCAUAGAUUGAAUUAAAUGUUGACAUGAUUACGUGGAUGAAUAGGUUUAAUGACUGCCUCGAGAUGCAAUUGGAUAAUAAAAGUAGAACAUGCAGACAGCAGUCAUGCACUGUUCGAAUGGAUGCAAGAGACUGUGAGUGACACUGAAGGAGCUCGUGAAAUAUUAGAAGAAAUCUUGUUUUUUUUUUAAAAAAAAAAAAAAUUUUUUUUGUGGCUAUUUAUUGGGGAUACUAAUAUAGAUCUCAUGACAUGCAAUUAUUAUAGGGCAUCAAAAUAAUGACAAAUCUCAUUCUAGACUUUUCUCAUGGUAUAUAGUAGAAAGAUGCUACAUUAGGGAGGGAGUCAAAAAAUUUGAAUCGAAGAAAUUUAAGAAAGGAUGUUUGCUCGGUAGAGAUAAGGAUUGGAAAUGCCUACAAGUUUGAGAUUAGGGGAAAAAACAAUGACGUUAUGCUUGGGAGGUUAAGCACACAAUUUAAUUGUUAGUAGUAAUAUAUUUGGAUUAAAAGUGUUUGUAAUUAAACUCUCAAAAUCACAGAUCGAGCAUGUAACUUACUACUCACUGGACAUGUUACAUAGAACUUACCAAAGGAACUAAUGAAUAUACUUGCUUAAUUAGGACAUAUAGUAGACAAUGCGCGCAAAACAAGUGAAGUGACGGAGAGAGUAAGAAGAGAGAAAUUAAGGAAAAUAAUGGUUGAGAACUCACUUAUGACAUCUACCGUGGUUUUCCCAUUAGAAAACCUUCCCGUUGGUCCGCGGGGAAAAUCAAUUCCAUAAGGCAAGUAAUUGGCUUUAGCCAAGGAGUUGAGGUUGUUGUUGUUACCAUUGUCCACUAGGGAAUCACCGAAAAUGAAGUAACAUGGGACUUGGGGUUGUGCCAAUACCCCAUUCUCAACAUUCAGCAGCAGCACCAACACCACUACAAACACCAAGGACAACUUCUUGCAUUCGCCCCUCAUUAUUGCGCAAAAUUGUGAGGAAAUUUUUUUCAAAAGGGUUUCAAGGAAUUUUGCAGAAAAUAGUGGUAAGUCCUUAAUUCCUAGGACGACACAGUUCACAGUAGGAUGCUUUGUGGCUGAGUGACGAGCUUGCCAGGAUGAAUUGUGCUAUAUAUAUACACACACACCAAUUGGAAGAAGAUAAGAGUGGGACAAACAAAUAAAAAGGGGUGCACCAAUUGAUAUGGGAGUCAUUGGUUCAGAAAUUGACUUUAUGGAUGAGAAGGCAGUGAAGGUUGCAUUUAAUUCACGCGGAUACAGUAUGAGGUUCCAUGUAUUGAUGUUGUCUUUCUAAACUGUGAAAACAAAUCGAAAUGCCUGCAAAGCCAUUGUGAUCUGAUUGCUACGCACCAAAUUGUAGGAGUACAAAGAUUAAGUCUACUGGGCAUUUUAAAAAAAAAAAAUGAAAUGAGAUGAAUCUGCAUGGAUAUAUCUCAAUCCGACUUAAUCUCCAUCCAAAAUUUGAAGGUCUGAUCUCAAGUUUUCAUGCAAAGAGAAUAUUUGCAUUAAAACAAGGUCUAAGUACGUGAAAGACUGAAGAUAAGUGGAGGUUUGGAAGAAAAUAACACUUGCUGGUUUAAAUGAUUAUUCCCGAUUUUGAGCAACUUUAGCGGUAUAGCUAAUGUUUUCGAAUACUCCAGAUGUAAUUCGUUAUCUUAUAUUAAAACGUCGGAAACAAUGUCCUUGCUUGGUUUUCUGUUCUUUUUUCACCAUUUUAAAACAAGAUAUUAUGUAGUGGACAAACUUCUUCUCCCUUUUUCCUACAAGUAAUAAAAAUUAUUUUAGAGAAUAUGGUAAGAUCCCAAAAAAAAAAAAAAGAUAUGCCAAGAUCAGAUUAAUCAAGACAUUUUUUCCCAAAAACUUUUUAUAUUUUUCAUAACAAUCACUUUUUAUUUCAAAUUAUUACAGUGCAUAUUUCUAUCAAAACUCCAACAAAGAGCAAUCCAAAUGGAUAUCCUAAAAUGCAUGGUUGACCAUAUGAACAGAUAUCAAAUUAGGAAAAUAGCCACAUAUACUUUGACUCGGCCUUUAUCACCAAUUAGAGAUAACAAGCGGUUGGCUAUUUCAACGUCGUUGAAAGCAUGCAAUUGGUUUCGUACUUUCGUUUAUGAAGAUGACUUCUGUCAAUUUGACAUUUUAGUCCAGUGUAUGGGAAUCGAAAGUCGUGUAUAGCUAUUAAGGGAUUAGAAGAAUUAUGUAAAAAAAAUAAAUAAACCACUGAGAGCUAAACCAUAAUUAAUCCAGCAAUUUAACUGAGAAUGCAUAGGUUACUUCACCUCGAUUUGUACAGGAUAUAUCAUCCAAAUAUGAUCAUUUUUUGUCGCUUUACCUAAGCACAUAGGUUAAAAAUAGUGCAUUAACUUCCCACAAAAAGAAAAGAAAAAAAAACCCGUAGUUCACUCACCGACCAUGUAUGUGUGCUUUUUUCCCAGAAUUGACUACAAUUAUUAUUAGUUUGAACAUUCUGGAAGCGAACUCCCUCGAGAAUGAUGCAUUUUAGCCUCGGUCAAUAACCGUACGUUUACUACUUUGUGGAGCAUGUAAAAAAGAAAAAAAAAAAAGAGGAUACAAACUUGAAAAGAUCUUUUCUAAUGUUACUCGGACGAGUGCCUAUUAGUACACCUAAAUGAUACGUUAUUUAUUAUUAUAUAAAUACACAUACUAAUAUUUAUUACGCUCCUAUAUUUAAAUACUUUACUUAAUUAACUUCACUUUUGUGGAAGAAAUAAGAAUUAGUAUGUGAGAAAUCUCUUGAUAAGAUUCUGCCGACAUCGGUUUGCCAAACCCUACUUGAAAUUCCUUCCAAAAAAAAAAAAAAAAAUCCUACUUGAAAUAGGAUUCCAUACUAAUCCAUUUCAUAAAUGACAUGGUGGCUCCACAAAUCCUUUUCCUAACUGUAUGUUAAUUAAGGUGAUAUGUAAACAUGCAUGUGAUACCUUUAAUCAUGCGUCUUCUGGGAUCAACUGAACAAUUUCAACUCCAAGAAAGUGAUGAAUAAGGCACAAUUUGGUGAAGAUUGAAAGGUUCAACUUUAACUUUAGUAGUUGUGGACUCAGCAGUCCAUUUCUUUACUAAUAAUGCUCUUGUGGAAGCCAUCACAAGUUCACAACAUUAAUUUCUGAAAGAGAUAUGCUAUAAUUAUAUGAAAUGAAAAAGAUAAUGACUCCAUUUAUUGCGUGGACAGAGUCUUACCAAGUAACGUGGUGGGUCGGCAAAAGCUUAUAAUAAAUCACGGGCUGCAAUCAAUACGUUUCCAUCACCAUUAAUUACUCAGAGUUGUUAAGGGUAUUAAAUUAACAAUUUUCAGUUAGUAUAUUUUCAGAAGAAUAACGAUACACAAUUCGAAAAUUCUCGAUUAAUUCAUCUUAUGUUGGAUAUAUAUAACGUUCUAACGUGAAUAUAAAACCUACAAAUUUAUAAGAUAUCUAGAUUUAAAAGGUAUUUCCGCCCCUAUGCAUUAAUUAUUAGUAAAGAUUUCCGCGAUUAGAGUUUCAAAAUUCUAACUGUAUAUUACCAUUCUUCUUAGGAAAAAAAAAUAGGGAGAGAAAAAAGAAAAGCUGCCAUUAUGGUGUGCCGUUGGGUUGGGCUUGAUCUUAUCAUUUUAUUUCCCUACAAUUUUUUUUUUUUUUUAAAAAAAAGGACAUAUAUCUUACCUCCAUCGUCUCCAUCAAAUGUAGAAACAAGUUCGAUUUGACAGUUUGUUAAGCUAGGAAAAGAGCGUCUGUGCAACAUGGGAUCUUUAGAUAUUCUGGAUUAAAGUGUUUAAUUGGAAGUUAAAAUUUGUCAUACAUCAAAACCUUUUAAUGAAAUUUAUAGAAGUGUAUCUGCCAAUUAAAAUUUAACCAAUUAAAAGAAAAAUGGUGUUGCAUCUUGGUCCUAAAUUGGGUAUGGCAAGUUUCCCCAUACAUCCGUUAGAAAAAAAUCCUCAACCACUUUUUCAUUAGUUUAAGUACUUUUAUUCAUAUUUAAUUAUGUUAAAUAUGAACAUUGCCUGACGGCUUUGUUUGGAUUGUGAAUUAUUUACCAAAUUAUAUCUGCUUACAUCAUCAUUACAAUUUCCAACGCACCUUUUUAGCUUCUCAAUUACCUUUUUAUCUCACAUACAUCACAUCACAAAAAGUGCUACAGUAAAAAUAUCUCAAAUAAUUCACAAUCCAAACAAACCUAUAUGUGUAAUGUCGACUACCAUUUUGAGUUCCCUGUUGCCUUAGUCGUUCUGUCUACAAGAUUGUGUAAUGUCAACUCUGAGAUUAGUCAAUUCUGAAAUUGUGAAGCAGUCUUACCCUCUCUAGAAGCUUAUUUUAGGAUUAUAAAUUUCCUGUUUCCUUUUUUUUUGCCCUUUUGUUUAUAGGUUGCCAUUUUACUUUUUGAGUGUUUCCGGUAUUUAUAUAAACAUAAACUUCAAAUAUGUGAAAGCCAACAUCAGGUUUUUCAUGUUCUUUUCGGAUCGACAAGAACACAUGAUCGAAUCUAGGCCUGUCAACGGGUCGAGUUUAGACCCGGAUCCGGACCGAAUCCGUGAAAUUAUUGCGGGUAUGGGUAGGGAUUUAAUUCCGUUUUCCGGACCCGAAUCCGGAUCCGUUUUGUCAAACAAAAAAACGGGUCGGAUACGGAAUAUAGUAUUCCGACCCGUAUUAGACCCGGAUCCGGAUAUAAAUGAAUUAAUAAUUUAAAAAAUAUAUAUUUAUCAAUAUAAUUUGAUUAGGGUGAUGUAUUUGAGUAAAGUCAAUUUGAUUUCUUUUCUUAUUUGAUUUUUUCUUUGCAUUAGUUAGAAAUUAGUUUACAAAUAUAUUUUUUUUCUCAUUUUUAUUAGAAUUUAUAAAUUUUGCUAAAUUUGCGCGGAUAGACCCGACCCGGAUCCGGGACCCGCCGGAUCCCGGAUCCGGAACAUAAAAUAAAAGAUCCGUCGGGUAAACGGGUCGGAUCCGGUUCCGGUAUAGUAAUUCGGGUCCGGAAUAAUGAAUUCCGGCCUGGACCCGGCCCGUUGACACCCAUAAAUCGAAUCCCACUACUAUACAUCAAUGUUUAUUACGAAAAGAUCAGCUGAAGCAAACUUGUAUUUGUUACAACGAAUUAAAUUGAAAGAAGAAUUCUCACAAUUUAAUCCAUGAAGCAAAAUCCUAAUUAGUAAACUACAAAAUUAAUCGAGUCAAAUAAAUUGCAAAAUUACAAAUAAGAAUAAUUGUAAAAACUGAACGGUUUUUUGUCCUUGCUGCUACGAUCUUUAUAGUACUAAAUUUUUAGAUCACGUAUGAGAACAGACUAUAAUUGAUGAUGAUGACUGUGUAAUCAAAACGGCAGUAUAUUUUUUAGACCAACGUAAUUUGGUUGCCGACCAGUUUGGUCGUUUAACAUUUUAACCGAUUUGGACAACAGAAACCUAACUACAUGGAGUAUUUAUCAAUAAUAUUAUGUCCUCGUCAAUUAAUCAAAAUUAGAAAUCUACUAAGUGGAAUUACCAAAUGAAUAAAAUUGAAAUUAAACACAAGAUUACAAGGGAACAAAUUGAUCCCAAAUUUAGUGCGGAAGGUAUGAAAUAAGGAUCAUCCAUAAUGAACAUUAGGAGAAUAAGAUAAACUUGGGUGGGCAAUAACUCUCGUGAUGCAACCACAAAGUUUAUAGUUUGACCUGUGUUUUUCAGUUUAAAAAUGGAACUAUUACGUGUGGACGGCUACGAGGAGUCUUGUCCUAACAGCUAUAUCUUGCACCGACAUAAAUAAAUGGAGUUGUAGCAAAUAUAGGGAAUAUGCUCCAUAAAUCCCUGGUAAGUUUCAUUCACAACCAUACUAGUAUUAGAAUGCAUUGUUUUAUUUCUUAGUAUCUAUCUAACGGGCGCUCAUUGAACAUUCUUUAAAAUGUAUUUUAAGUGUUCAAUUUUUCUUUUUUAAAAAAAGUAAAUUUUAUUAUACAAAAGUAUAUAAAUAUAAAAAAAUAAUUAUUAUUAGUACGUGUAUAUACAUAAUAAACUUGGUGUGAUUCGCAUGCGUUAACGAGUAUUCAUUGGAUAUCCGUUAAAAAAAACUAUUUAUUAUACAAGUCUAUGAGUCAAAUCGAAAUAUGUGGAGCAUUUAUUGUACAAAGUGCUGCCAACUUGACAUGGAUAAAUGAAAGAUAAAAUUGAUAAGAUGAGUUAUCACACUAUUGUAUCAUUUAUGGAGCAUUUCCUUUUUCUUGAAGCUGGUAGAAUUAAAUUUGAGUAGUAGAAUUAAAUUGAGUAGUUGAAGUAAAACACUAGCAAAAACUCCGACGGAACCAGUCAACUACAAAAAUGAGUUGACUCAACCUGGAGUCAAAAUGGAUGCUAGGUCCCUUAAGGGGCAAGAUUUUUUUUUUUUUUUUUCCAAGAAAAACCUUUUGCGGCUCAAUUUUACGCCGCAAUAGUCAAUGGCCAAUUUGGACUGCUAAUCGAACUAAGCAAUUGCACCGACCUCGAAUCGUCCAUUUAUUUCAUGUGUGUGAGUUCAUGCGGUUGCUCCUUUGUUAUUGGAAUUAUCCAAUUUUCAGUUGUCUUCACACGAUGGAACUCCUCCCUCCGUACCAAAUUGGGAGUUCAACUAUUGCCUACUGUAAAUCCUUGUGGUUUGGAUUCUCUCCCUGUCUUAGUUGGGUCUUUUCCUUCCCUCGUACUCACAAAAAAGUAUGCUAAUAUUAUUUGCAAUUUGACACAAAAAAUUUUGAGCAAUUUACAAUCCAUGUUACAAUCUAAGGGUGGUGAUAUAAGUAGUAACAAUGACCUUGCACGUAGAUCCUUGUACCACAUUAGUUCUUUCAAUUUUGCGGCUAAUUUGGUGUGGAGUACAUUGGCAUCCUUUGCUUGCUAUCGAUAAUAAAGACUGACAAAUCUAACAACAUAAGAAUAAAAGCAGAGAAUGGCAUCUAAUAUAUCUGAAUUUGAGAUGGAUUCUGAAGAAAGGUUUUGUAUUUAAAGCUUAUACAACAUCCCUGCCUGAAAAAACAAUUUUGCACAUAGUGCAUUAGGAAAAUGUAAUGGUGGGCACAAUUUACUAGUCGUCUGGUACAUAUGGUCCAAAUAAAGAGAAUUUACAGCCUUAGACUUGGAUAUUACAAGUGGUGCUAUCGAGCCGAGUCAAGCUCCAGUAGUACCAUACUCGAGCUCGAACUCGAUCAAAAUUUGUGCUAUUUGAGCUCGAGCUCGAUCGAGUAAAAAAAUUUGGACUCGAGCUCGACUCAAUGAAAUAAAACUAAACUCGAGCUCGACUCGUUUGAGCUCGAAUAAGCUCGAGUAAAUAUCAAGCCCGAGCUACUCGAGUUCGAGCUCGAGUUUUGAAAUAAAUCUAUAAUUUUUUUAAAAAAAUAUAUAAUAUAUAAUAUAACAUAAAUAUAUAAUAUAAAUAAAAUAUGAAAGCUGAAUUAAGCUCGGCGAGCACUCGAGUACUUAUUUCUUGAACUCGAACUCGACUUGUUAAAUUUAACGAGUAGCUCGAGCUCGAUUUUACCGAGUUCGAGUCAAGCUUUUGAUCAAGCUGACUCGCGAGCAGCUUGACUUGCUAGCAAGGCCCUUCUUGUUUCCUUGUCUUUGCUCCUCUCUGAACAUGAGCAUAUUUUAAAGCAAACUUGAUUUUAUAACUUAAGCAUAUUGAGAAAAGACGUUUAAAGAAUGCAAAGACUAGCUUAACUGAAUUCCAGCCUGUAUAUCUAGUCUAUUCCAAAUGAGCCUAAUCAAGCUUAGUUCUUUUUAUACACAAUCUAAGAAUAACGUAUACGCUUGAAUGAAACACUUGUAGUUUUUCUGUUUUACUCACAAAACCUUUGUUUUUUGUAGGGUUUGAUGAUCGAAUAGUAAUUUGGAGCUAAAUGGAAGAAGUUUGAAGAAACCUUGAAGCGCUCGAGAAGUCACUAGUGUUCGUGGAAGCAGUAGCGCAACAAGAGGAAAAGUGUUAAAGAGUUUGCUCAUGAAAAUUGUUUGAAUCCUGCCAUGGAUUGUUGGAAUGGAUUCAAUCCGUCCAUGGAUUGCAGUGGUAGAAGACUGGAUUCCAUCAGUGAAUUGAAGGUAGAGAGCAAACCAAACGAGCAAGAAACAAGGUAGAAGAAUCCGGCUAUGGAUUGUUUCCAGGUGAGCCAGAUUUCAUGAAUAGAUUUAAGAAUGGUCAAAGCAGAGUUAGAAGAAUCCGGCCACAGAUUAUGUUUAGCUUGGCUGGAUUCCAGGCGGAAGGUGAAAAUUCGUAGAAUAAAAUGGAGCAUGCAAUCAAGCCGAACUGAAAGACACAACGCGUCCGCAGAUUAUGCCCGGAUCCGUAUGCAACAUGCGUAUCUUGCACUUGGGCAUAUGCAACUUGCGUAUCUUGCACUUUCUUUCAUCCAUCUUCAUGGAUAUGAAGGGAUGAUUUUGGCAGAAGAUUGCAGAUAAGAUGCAAAAGUAGAAUCAAUGGUAAUCUAACCCAUUAGGGUUAGAGAAGCUCCAACAAUUACAAGAAUGGAAGAAGUGUAUUUAGCAAACAAGUUUUUCUCUCAAUACUAGGUGGAGAGUGCCCGCGCAUCGCGCGAGUGUUUGGUACCUGUUGUUAGAAAGAAUAUUUUAUUGGACAAAUAAUAGUACAUUCUGUAAAGAAAUAGUCAUCAAAUAUGACAAAUCUAAUAAUAGUACAUUCUAAUUGCAACACACACUUGUACACUUUAUUUUAUCAAUACUUUUACAAUUUUACUAUUUCUAAAAAAAUCCCUACAUAUGUUAUUUGAUAAUCGCCUAAGAACAGACAUAAGUUGUUUCAGACAAAAAAAUAUCCUCCAACGGUUAGUUACAGCAACGUAUUAAUUGCACAAUGUGUUAAUAUAUCUUUGUGUUAAUUGCACAACAAAAGUUACAUUUCAAUUAAAUGUGUUUAUAACACCAUUUCAGUAAUUAAACCAACACAUAAGCUUAUAUGAGUUGUACUCGAUGCAAAAACUGUUGCAAAAUAAUUCCAUAUUCCAAAAAUACCCAGAUAUCUCCAUCAAUCAAAGCUUUAAAUGUACCAAAAUAAAAGCAUUUCGGUAAAUAUACCUAAACACAUGCUGCCUUCAAUUGUAUCAAAAGUUUUUAAAAAAACUACACAAUAAUUCAUAUUUCCAAAAAACCCUAUCCAUGCAGUUGAAAUUCAAACUUCCUUUGACCAAAACUCAUUCUUAUAUAAUAUAAGGAUAAGGAUUUGUCAUCAUGGCCCUGCAAUUCUCCGCAUUUGAUUCAAUUAGUAAUUGUUUUUUUAUAAACAACAUGUAUCCUUUUAACCUAAUAAUAAUUUGCAUAUAUAAUAAUUUGGCAAGUGUAGGGGAAUGUUUUCUCCCCCAUCCCCUCUCUUGCUCCUGACCCAUUGCUCGCUAUGGGAAUAUAUCCAUCGAUUAUGGGUUGUUUGCUAACUAAAUCCAAAAUAUAUUUUAGUUAUAGAGACGAAGAAAGAUUUUGCUAAAUGAGGUACUAUUAGAUUAUGAAGUUUACCGUAUAAAAUGCAUGGGUAUUUAGUAAUAAAAAAUUUAUGUAAAAUUCUAAUGCUGUCAUCCUCUAUCAGUUUUGGUUCUUAGAUGGAUUUUACUGAAUCAAAUAACAUGUGUUGACCAAGAAACUUUAUCACAAAGUCAAUUGGCAUACUGUUAUUGACUCACUUUGCAUUAAUCAUAUGCUAGUAAUCCAUGCAAUAAUAUACAAGUAUUAUAUGUAUAUAUUAUGAUGUGGAGAUUGAUCAACACAUUUUGUAGAGGUGGCAAAUCAACCCAUUUAACUAGAUUUACCCAUACCCGCCCAUGAAUAGAUGGGUAUGGGUAUCUUAAAUUUUUGUAUAUGGGUAUAAAUGGGUUACCCAAUAAUACCCAUUUAUUAAAUGGGUAUUAUUGGGUAACCCAUCAAACCCAAUUAACCCAUUUAAAAUUCUCUUCCCCCCAAGUCUCUUCUUUUCCCCUACCCUUUUUUUUUCAAAUUUUUCAUUUUGUCAUGAUGUUAACAUUAUUAUUAUUAUUAUUAUUAUUAUUUGUUGGUUUUAUCUUAUUAUUUUAUUUUUUCUUAGUUUGUUAACUUGCUCAUUUUUUAGCAUUACCAAUUUAUGAUAAAUUUUAGCCUAUUUUCUUAUCUUUAUAAAAUGAAAUUUUAAAUUUAUAUAUGAAAAAAAUGUUAGGGGUACAAAAUUUUUGGAUUAAUUUUUAUAGUACUUAAUUCAAAUUUUUAUAUUCGUAUUAUUCAAUUAUUAAAUAAUAGGUAAUUUUGUGACAUAGAGUAUAAAUGAAAAAAAUUGGUAAAUAAGUUUAUUGAACAUUAUAAGUAAAUAUUUAAAACUAAUGAUGGGUACAAAGAGUGGUAUAAAUUGAUAACUUAGUUUGCAAAAAUGAAUUUAAAUGAGUUUGCAAAAAGUUAAAAUAAAUGAGUUAUAAAUGGGUAAUUGGGUUACCCAAUUCAUUUUUUGACUUACCCAUUUAUACCCAUCUAAUUAAAUGGGUAAAAAUGAGUUGACUCACUUAUACCCAUUACCCAUUUUACCCAACCCAAACCCGCCCAAGUCACCCAUUUUGACACCUCUAACAUUUUGAAAUAAAUACGCAUAAAUCUAAUCAAUAAAAUUUAACUUGUGUCUGAAUAUGUACAUCUUAUAUUAACUUGCAUAUUUGAAAGAGCAAAAGGUACUAAUACGGGUAUUUUUCACAUAUGACUACCUAACUGAAGGAUCGGGGUUAAAUUGGGAAAAAGCAUAUAGAACACAACAAACAGCUAAUACGAUGAGGUAAUAGAAAGCUUUAGAUCGUUGAUUAAUAAAACAGUGAAUGAGUCUUCUAACAAAAUUGCUAGCAUGUCAAGUCAUUCUUUACCGACCAUAGGCCGAAUGGAAGAGUUGAAGAAAUUGGCAAAACCAACGACAAACUAGUCUUGAUAUUGCAAAAUCCUUUGGUUGUUGGUUAAAGUCUAGCAAGUCAGUGUCUGCAGUUUGUUUGUCACAGGUUGUUUUUUUUUUUUUUCCAGAUUUUUUAUGCGUGUUUGUUUGUUGUAUAAAAUAUCUGCAUUUUCCACCAUUAGAAGAAGUAACAUUAGAAGAGAGCCUGUUGCAUAGUGUCUCAUUGCCCUCGCCUUAUAGAAAUGGGUUCUACUGCAUAUGUUUUUGUGCAAAUAUGACCCCGAAUUUUUUUACGACCAAAUUAACGAUACUAGAUUGUUUUUAGGCGUCUCUAGCAAUUAAGUUUGUUGAUUGUGCCACAGAAUCACCCAUGAAUUUGCACAGUGUUUAUUCAUCCAGUUUUUUUUUUUUUUUUUUUUGGAAAGCAUAAUUUGUAUAGUCACUUUCAAACCUGGAGCCAUAUUCAUCUCCACACUAGAAACUUUUGCUUGUUUUUCGAUAUUUUAUCUUUAUGUUAUAUGAUUUGGAUAGCGAUUGCUUGACCCCCCAAGAAUAGGGAUCUUCCUCUUCCACCUCCUCAGUUGAUUUAAUUCAUAUGUAAAUGGAAUUCAAGUUGCUAUACUACUUAAUGAAAAUAAAUUGCACAUUUGGAUAAAGAAAAAUUUGACACCUCAAAGCCACAUACAAAACUUGUUUGGUCAACUAUUUGGAUAAAUGAAACCACUUAAAGUUCGAAAAUCUUUCAAACAACAUAGCAAAAUCAAGUUUGCAUAUGUAUAUAUUUCUAAGAAUACCAAUGUGUUUUUUUUUUUUUUGGCAAGAAUUUAUCAGCUGCUUCACUACGUACUAAUGAUAUUUAACAUCCUCAUCUUCACAGUUGAGCUAAACGACUAAUAUCCACGGGGUACGCAUCAGAUUGCUCUUCAGCUCUGUACGAUCUUCUUCCAACAAUAAUAUUUGCAGCUUCAGAUGGAUGAAAAGCAUCCCAAAACAAAUACUCAUCUCUAUUUGCACAUGGAGUUUGGAAAGGAAGACAAGUUAUUUGGCCAUUGUUUCUUCCAACACCACAGCACCCUGCAUUUGUCACCCUAAAACCUGCAUAUGGAAACAAAUAUCAAUGCACAAAUCAAGUUAAAUUCUGGUCGUUGACAAAAAUCAAACACAUCCCUAAUUAUAAUUUUAUGCCAGGCACAAUGCACAAUAUAAAUCUAUGUCACUUAUCACUCACAAUUCCUAGGGGCCCUUCUCCAAAUUUGGGCUUUAGCUCCCUGAUAAAAAUAGCAUUUUAACCCUACACAACUUGCAGUUUACAGCACAGAACUGCUCCCAUUUUUAUGAUGAAAUAAUGUUCUUGAUUACAAGAAAAAGAGAAUGUUAGAUAGCAAUGACGAAUGGCGCAAAGAAUGAUUACCAAAAGCUGAGGGGUUGUUAAUUAAAUCCUGGAAAAUGCCAAAAGCAUUGAUGUAGGCAAACUUUGCGUCACUUCGGUCGUUGUUGAAUUGGUCCACCAAUCCCCUGAGUCCAUUAUUGAAUAUUUGAUUUGCAGAGUUAAUCCUCUGGACACAAGCUGUACCAUCAGGGCUAUUUUGGGCCAAUGCAUUUGGACUACAUCCAAUCUGACCCACUCCGAUCAAGGCAAACUUCCUUGCUCCAUAAUCAUAAAGCGUCUGCACAGGUAAGAACCAAAAAAUUUGAGGCCCAAUUUAUAUGCUAAAACCAGGUACUGCUCUGAUCUUCUUCUUCUUCUGCUUCUUCAUUUUUUCUUUUUUCUUUUUUUUUUUUUAGCAUUUCAGAUUUAAACCAACAAUAAAAAAGGAGUAAGUAGAGAAGAAGGAAAAUGAGAAUACUCACCCUUAUUUGUUCAGUAUAUUGUUCUAUAAGGACCUGAGAAUAUUGUUCAGGUGAAAAUUGCCUACUACUUGAGUAGUAGAGAGGCAUGAAAUAGUUGUUAAGGUAGUCAUUGCUGCCAACUCCAAUUGAAUAUAUGCACUUGCUUAGGUAAUCUGCAGUAGAAUUUUCAUCUCCAAGAAUAUUUACUAUUUGCGAGACUGUAUUCUUGUAGUUGUUCACUUGUGCUGUAAAACUAAUCCUUGCACCCUAAAAUUUCACAAUGACCAAUGAAUUAGUAUACAUGUUCCCACUAUAUAUAUAUAUGUAUGUGAAAUGACGAUAGAAAACUUGUGAAAUCAUUAAAAAAAAAAAUUGGAAAAAGAUGCAAAUAGACCCUCAUACUUUUACUUAAUACAUUUCUAGCCCCUCGCAUUUGAAAUGAUGCACUUUGAUCUCACAUGUGAAAUCGUUGCAUUUUGGUCUCGAAGUCCAUUUUGAUUUUAUUCUAUUCCGAAAAGUGGACAGAAGUAUCAAAGUCCACUUUCUUUUUCUUUAUUUUUUGUCUUGGCCUAAAAAUUAGAAGGUCAUAUAAAAUCAUUAAUUUUUUUUUUUUUUUUGGGGGGGGGGGGGGGGUGAGUACGUCGGGAAAAAUGUAAUCCUUUUUAAGGUUUGAUAGCAAAGCCCUCUCUCGCAUCCUCAGAAUUUUCAAGCAAAACUAGACCAAAAAUGGACAUUAGGACGAGAAUGUCUCAUUUUAAGUACGAGUAAAGCAGAAAAAAAAUUAUAUAGCAACAAUGUGGGACUAUAUUUUGGUUUUGCUGAAACAAAAGUAGAGUUGAGUACCAGUUGUUGGCCAGUUUCUUCUCUAAUCCCAGCAGCUGCAGAUGCAUAAUUUACGCCCUUUAAUAUCUCUUGGCCACUAACUUCUGCAUAGGGUGGAAUAGGACCCUCGAACCCUAACAGCUCCGCUGAUAACAAAUCAUCAAAUUAGUGUACCAUUGACACAAAGUAUAGCAUUUGCAAUUGAUGCAAAAUUAUUGUUAAACAUCUAUACCAUAUGUUUUUUCUUUUUGUACAUUGAAGAAUAUUUUGAUUACUAAUUCAUAGAGGAUACUAAUUUGUACAUUUCGCCUGGCUUAGCAACAAUAAUGGGCAGAGUAGGACCCUUAGAAUAAAUGCGCAAAAAAAAAAAAAAUUUUUUGAAUAGAUUGUCAGAUAUGGAGCUUGUUAUUUGGACAAGAGUACUAUAUAGAAAGAGCAUUUCGAAGAAUGAAUUUGCUACAGUGGGCACCUAUUAUUUUUCUUGAACAAUCUUCUUGCUUCUUGUUGUUUGGUUCAAUUCCGUUUUAAGAUGGUCCCACUUGGAAAAGGUUGGUGUAAUAUUUUCUAUUUAAGGAUACCUAAUUUAAUGUCUUAGAACAAAACUAGGUGACUAUUAUUAUUAUACCCAAAACAAAGGGUGGCUAUUCAUAAUAAUACUUUCACAUCCAUCAACCUUGGGUUGUUUGCUAAUUGUAUCCGAUGUUUAAUUUAGAUCAUAGCCACUAAGGAAUUUAAUGAAAGUACUUUUAGAGCCCAAAAAACCCAAGUAGAAUCCGAGAUAUGAGCAAUAUAAUUAAUCAUGCUUUCACACUCUACCAAUUUUCUAUUUAUUCAAUUGACCUUGUUUGAAACGAAAUAACUUGCAUUGACUGACAAACUUUGUUGUAAAAAUGCAGCACAAGCUGAAAAAAGUUUACUAGUUUUUUUGUUAAUGUGUUUUGUUGUUUAGAUUAUAAUUUUUCCGAGUGGUAAUUGCACUACUGGACACUAUUUCUUGCUCAUACAUAAAAGUUUACUAAUAAACGUAAAUAAAAAUGCAGUAAAACCUACCCACAAAAUUAAAAAGAAAUGAGGUACGUAGUACAUUUUAUGGUAAAUUUACUUAGAGAAAAGGACUCAAAAGCCAAUUUAAAUGUAUGGUUCACUGUUCAUGCAACUAAAUAAAAGUAGAAGGGAAACUUGGUGAAAUAGAGGGUUCAUGAGAAGAGAUUCAUGGUGAAAAUGCAGACUUCAAAACAAACGCCUAUAAAGCUGACUCCUAAAAUUCGCGAGCAGAUAUCGGCAUGCAUGUUUAAAAGAGCAAAUGAUUCUGGCAUUCUUCGCAGAAUACCAACCUCAUCAUCUAGGUUUACAAGCAGACAACGAGAUAAAAAGAGCGGAAUUGAGAGAAAGGAAUGGAGAUCCAAACCUAUAACAUCAACAGUAGUUUUUCCAUUGGAAAACCUUCCACUUGGUCCACCAGGAUAAUCAACUCCAUAAGGCAAAUAAUUAGCUUUGGCUAGGGAGUUGAUAUUAUUGUUAUUGCCAUUGUCUACAAGUGAAUCACCAAAAAUGAAGUAGCAAGGAACUUGGGGUUCUCCGUAGACUCCAUUAUCAAGAUUUAGCACCAACAACAGACACCCCACCAAGAAUGUUUUCAGCUCACCACCCUUUAGGGCCAUUGCCAUGCCUGAUGCCCACUUCAAGAGAAAUAUCCCACCCAAAAAGGUGUCAAUGAAUUUUGCAGAAAUGAGUGAAGUAGCAGAAGGAGAAGAAACCUUUAGGUUAGUGGAGGUGUUGCUGAGUGAUGAAAUAUAGAAGGAUUGGAGGCAUUAUAUAUAGAAAAUUUUGAUCCAAUUAACAGAGAGAAUUGAGAGACGAUGAUUUAGCAAUUACUAAGUUUAUGGAUGGGAAGUCGGUAUGGUGCAUUAAAUACACGCGGGUAAGGUACUGUGAGUUUCCAGGUACCUUGUCUCACGCUGGUUCGUCUUUUCCCCCCUCUAUUGCAGUGUUUGGUAACCAAUUUGAAUUGGGUUUUUUUAGCUGGUGUUCUUGGUGGAUUUAAGUUGUUAUUUUAAAAAAAAAAAAAAAGAAGUUAAAUCGAGUAAGCGUUUUGUGUAAUAAGACACUGUAUAUGAAUUCAUGCAUACAUAUGGUACAUAUUUAAAUUUUGAAAUUUGAAUGAGAAAUUAAAUCGAGUUAAUGCGUGGGACACAGUAAAUAUGUUUAUAUAUAUAUAUAUAUAUAUAUAUAUAUAUAUAUGGUAAGAUAUGUGUAAAAAAAAAAGUACUAUUAAGGAAAAUCUUUGAAUAUAGGGUUUAUACUUCAUAUUUAAAGCGUUUACUUUCUAACUUUCUAUCUUUGCAAUUACGCAUUAAUGAUUUAGCAACAGUUUUUGAAUUUAUUGUUUACAAUUAGAAUUUACAACCAUCCUUUUUUUUUUCCUUUUAUAUAUUGGGAGGGAAAUUUUUUUCUAAAGCUGUCUGUCAGACACGUGUUGUCAGUUUCUACGUGUACUCUUUUUUUUUCUGACGAAAUAGGUAUCCAGAAUUCGACGGAUUAUAUUUCCGGACCCGACUAUUUCCACUCCGCUUGUGCCCCCACCCCCCAGAAGACACAAGACCAUAGGAGUGAUCGAACCGCGACUACGCGAUGCUAGGAUCUAAGGAGGCACCCAGCCGAGCCAACCCCGGGGGUUUCUACGCGUACUCAAUGAACGAAAUAAUCACAAUAGCAGUUCGAGACUAGCUCCAACUUUAUGAGAAUUAUUCUGCGCUUUGACUGGACGGUAUAGCUGGGGCAAAAGUCACCAUGAAAGUGUCCAAAAAUUAUAGUUAAUUUCCCAAAUAUAGAGUGUGUAACUUGAUUACAAGUUACAUAAUGACAGAACUUACCUUUUAUCUGGUAGAUUUCAGAACUUUCAAAAGUAAAAUUUUCAUCACAGUUGAGAAAAAAAAAAAAAAAAAGCGAGGAAUUUCCAAAUUUAUAUAGUAAAUAAUAGGAUGAAUCUUUCAUGCAGAAUAUAUUUUACAGACCUAAAUUCAUAUGCUACGAAAAGAUUAAUCCUAAUAAUAUGUGCUUUAUAAACCACUAUUCAUUGUGCAUAGGUUACGAAUCAUCCAUAAUAAUGUGCUUGCUUCAUGGUCUAAAACUCUAUUUGAACUUAUCAUUUAUAUCAAAAACUUAUACUACUAAGUGUGGAUUCGGGAUGCAGUUGAUUUGGAUUCAUCCCCUCCUAAAAGACAAAUCUAAACUCCCUUACGCGCAUAAGAGGCUAAACAUUAAUUGGCCAAUUCUGCGAAAUCUUCCUAGUUGCCACCAGCUGAUCCUCAAAAGCAUGGUUGAAUCAAUAAUAGUCUGCAUACAGUGGCCAGCAAACGAUUUGACCUUGUCUUCUUCAUCAUUAAUCCAUUACCCAAGUAAACGCCUAAACGGUCAAGUGGUCUUCAAGAUGUCCCGGAUUAACUUUUCAAAGUCAAUACCUUACUAAUGUCGCAUUCAAAUUCUUAAUUGCAAAUAGAUGCCCAUCGUUACAAUGGUUUUCGUGAUUUUGCAAUGGAAAUUAUGGAUAAGAGUUUAUUUGGAUGAUUUAUUUGAGAUAUUUACUGUAGCAUUUUUUGUGAUGUGAUGUGUGUGAGAUAAAAAGGUGAUUAGGAAGAUAAAAAGGUGAUUGGGAUUUGUGAGGCAAAAUUUUUUUUCCCAAAUUCUCUCUAUCCAAACAAACUCAUGAGUUCGCAUUUUGCUCGGAUAGUCAUUUACUAGUCGGUGCAAAAUGCUGGCCAGUGAUCGGGGGAGGGCUUUUAGAUUUUUUUUUUUUUUUUUUUUUGGUCGGUAUCAUAUUCAAAUUUACCUGAUAAUUGGGGGUGGGAAGGUCGAGGUGAGAGGUAACACUAUCUAGUUCUUACAUUUCUUUCAGGGAAAUGGAAGGGUACAAUCUAGGAUCUACGGUUUUAUAGUAUUCAUUGAGUUGGAGUUGGGAGAUAAUUGUACAAUUUUGCUAAAUUUGGUCGGAGGUUUCGGAGACAACAACGUUCAUAACACAAGUUGCUAAUUCUGCUUUGUAGUAAAUUUGCGGAAGCUAUCCCAACCACUUAACGUCUGAGGAUGGGCGGUGAGACAAGAACUGGGACAAAUUAUUGACAAAGUCAAACAAGAAACGCUGGACCAAGCAAACUGCAAAAGUAUCCAUUCCUACCAAUUACCAAUGAGGCAAUCACAGCCGCCACGCGCUCCAGUAAUAAAUUCAAGUUACGAGUAUUAAUAGUUACACAUGAUUUUGCUGCCGACGACCCAUGCUCCACAAUAUACAUGGGAGUAUAAAUUAUUUCGUCGAGAAAAUAUUUUUCCCACCCAUCAAUCGAGAAAACUAUUUUUGUGGUUAAAAGCAAAGUGAAAAAAUUUUCCAGCCCAUCAAUUGAGAAAACUAUGAAUCAGCACAUAGGAUGUUCAUAAUUAUAUAUAUUCUCGCGAUCGAUCGCCUAUUGUCUUUUUCCAUUACAAAAAAAAAAAAAAAAAAAAAUCUCCUGUUCUAUCUUAUUGCCAACUUGAAAAUUCAGAAGCCUUGUUGAUUUUUUCUUUUUUAUUUUUAUUUUGGUGGAGAGAGCACCGACACAAGAUCUUUGCUCUUUUGCCUUCGUUACCAUACUGACAAUUUAUCCUUGUUUAAAGUAAAUUUUACUGUCAAUUUAUCUUGUUUAGCAUCAAGAAGUAAGCAGCAUUCGACUAGCACAAACACAAUGGUAAAUCACUUUUAUAUUAAUGACACGAACAAUCCACAUGGCUACAACAGACUCAUUUACUUCUUCAAAUCGGCCAACGCCAAAGCCUUCACAAGUUUUCCUCCUACUGCAUUAAACUCCAUGCAACGCGGCUAUUGGACAAGAAAGAUAUUCAUACAUAUGCAUAACCUUUAUACAUGGCAGCACCAAAUUUAACGAACCUCUGAACCAGCCCCACCACCUCCCUUAAAUUCCUAUAAUAUUCCCGUAAAAUUUUGAUAUAAUUUCAACUAUGCCGCUCGAAAUUUUAAGAAAGUGAAAAAAUUAUGUGAUUUUCUAAAUUAGUUCAUGAAUUAAUAUUUUAAAAGGAUAUCUGGAUCACAAAAUUUCAUUUGAAAUAAACUACAAAAGACUUUUCAUUUUAACUAAUUGAUGAAUAUUUUUUUUGCUUCAAAAAUUAGAAAAAGAGCCAAUAAAACAUUUUGAUAUUAUUACUUUUACCCCCACUGAAAAUUUUUUCUGGCUCUGCUCCGAACCACAAAACCCAUGUCAAGAUUUUGGCAGCUAUAAUUCAUAAACUUCACCAAAUUAUACGCUCUGGAGAGUCAAAUCAGCAGAUUUGGAGCAUUUAUAGUACAAAGAGAUGCCAACUUAAGAACAUUAUUACUACUUGGCAGAUAUGGAGAAUAUGACAGAUGAUAAGAUGAUUGACUAUUGUAGCAUUUAUUGGGCAUGUGAUUGUGGAUUUUCUGAAGCUGGUGCAAUUAAUUUCUAGCAGAGUAGUUGAGCAACAUUAGAAAGAGAUGCUGAACUGGUCAAAACUCCAAGAAAGGGCAACAAGCUUGAUCUACAACAAUUAGGGCUGCAAUGGUUGCCGUAUCUCUUUCACUUGCACCGAUGGAUGCUUUACCCUUUUUUCUGCUGGGGGACAAAACUGUCAAAAAAUAACAAUAAUCUUGUGCAUAGGUCCCUCAUACACGUUCAGUUCUUCCAGAUUCCGGGCCACUUUAGCGUGCUAUGAGGAGCAGGGAAACACCAUUUGUUGCUGAUAAAAACGCGCGCAAUAACUCGAGAAGGUUUUCAUCUUCAAAAUACAUCAUGCAUGAGUGGAAUCCAACUUUGCAUACACUGGAUGCAGACACAGAAAUGAAAUCAGAAGGCCUUUUCCUCGUCUCCUCUUGAAGUUGAAAAAAGAAUAAUACAUCUAAGCAUAAAAUCAAACGAAGUUACUGCAGAAUUUAAGCUACUUGAUCAGCAGAAUACCAACUUUAACUUCUAUUUAACAGAAAGUAGUCAGACGAAAGGGAAAUAUUGCAGCUACUAGUUUUGUUUAAGCCCCAACAUUCAGCAGCAUUAGCUAAUAUACGAUUCAUGUCUCGAUAAGAUAAGCCACCAGCUUUGACGGACAGACAAGUUAAUUAAUUAAUAACCAAAAAGAUUGAUCACAGAAUAAGCCAAGCCUUUCCUGGAACUCAAAAUGAAUCCAAUCCCUGCUGAGUGUAAGGAGCCCUCGCACAAGCGUGAAUUGUGGUAAGCAAUGCUUCAUGAGCAAACACUGUCAAGAAGGAAAUACAGAUUGCAUAUCGCAGCAUGGUGAUUAAGCAUUCCUAAUCGUUUACAGUAAUCACAACAACAUCUGAAAUUCUAAGUUGUGAAUGUAAAUGUACCUAUCCUUGACUUGAGCUCUUAUCUUGGAAAAAAGAUAGUCAACAGGUAGAAUUGAUAAUACAAUAGGAGUUGAACUCUUACAAUUUCAAAUGAGGAUGUAAAUUUAAAAAAAAAACACACACACACAUAUUCGGCUCUUUCAGUUUUUUGGAGCUGCUUUAGCAUGUAGCAGGGAGCAGCGUAACAUCAAUUACUUGUUGCUGAUCAAGACAUUCGUAAUACUCCAGUUAAUGAACUUAAGAAAGGUUUGCAUAUUCAAUAUACAUCAUCCAAGAACGGAAGACAACUUCAAACAAAGUUCUGCCAAUAGAAGCUAUGUGUGAUGCAGAAAAUUUCAGCCCAUGGAAUUGGAAUCAAAAAGACCUUCUGUCUCCUCUUGGAAGUGUUGAACAUAAUUCACAAGAGGUUAGAAUCAAAGUUCAGGCAAAACUUAAUUUGCUUCAUCAGAAAAUAGAACUUCAACUUCUAUAUCUAUAAGAAAAUAGUCAGCCAAAAGGAAAAUCUAGCAGCAAGUGGGGCUAUUUUGAAUGACUAGCAGGACCUUCUUUAUGCCACUUGAGCCAAGUAUAAUUACAGCAUUUAGCAGCAUUAGGUAAUAAAGUUUGGUGACAUAUAGACAGCAGCUCAAAAUCAUUUCUUUAUUGUUAUUUAGAAUGCUUGCAGUGCUUUGCCGGAAAAGAUGCAUCAGCUACUUAUGAGCUCAAAGUCUAUCCAGAUAUUAAUUUAGUAAACAGGGGUCACGUAGAAAAAGAUGAUAGUCUAGGGACUGAAUUAUCAAAUUGAAGUUCAAGAUGAAAAGUAUUGCAAGUAUAAUAAUGCGAGGAUGCAAAAUGGAAUCAGUCUUUUCUAAUUCAAUUUUCUUUUCUCAUUUUACUCUCAGAUUUGCACUCUGGAAGUUCUCAUUCAGCCCUAGUCAUGUAUAAAAUUAACUUAAAAAUAGAAAGAAUACAUGGAUAGAAAAUCAUGAAACUUUCAAAGCAUGAAACUUUUCACAUCUCUAUGAUUCUUAAUGUAACAUGACCAGAGUCUAAGGUUGAAGGUGAGGGCCUUUAGCUAUGAGGAACCAGUUUGUAGGACAACUCCAGUCAAUGUGAAUAUGUAAUCUGUCCAAAUUUGUUGAUACUACAUUUAAAAGAACAAUAAGAUAGAUGGCAUUUAGAAUCCUAUAAGAAAAUCAUGAUUGAACUUUUUUUGAAAAGAAAGAAGUUACACAUAUUACUAUACUGGAAACAGGUUCUCAGACCAAUAUUAUAGCACAGACAUCUUAUUAAGAGAAAGCUGUAAUUUCAGAGAUGCAUCACAUAAUGUUAAGUUUCAAAUACACACAACCCAUAGCAAAUCAAGAGCAAAAUUGCAACUGACUUCCACUUACAAGAAACAAGCAGGAUGUGAUAUGAUUCUCAUGCGAAAAAAAGCGCACAUACACAAAGAAACCCAAAAGAGAGGAGCUUAUAUCCAUAUAAAAUGGUAGCAGACCAAAAGAUGCAUAUCACUGACCAAUAUGACACAAACUGAUACAAUCAUUAUGUGAAAUUCAUCAAACUAGCUCAGCAGGUAAACUACAUUAAAGUACGCCAGGCAUUUUUUCUGAGUCAUUAUAUUCAGGAUACAGACUCUUUAGGCUAUUGUUUACCAUAUUGGAGGGACAAUGAUCUGUUUGUGAAAGAUAAGGUUUAAAUCCUUUUUCAUCAGAAGACCUCACAUUAUUGCAUAUCUUAAUGUCGUUUAACAUAUCUUGACACCCAUAACACUCCUAACAUAAUAUUCUAGCAAAGCAAAACCUAUUGGUCAUAAAAACAGCAUGAUAAUCAUCCAAUUCUGCAUCUGUAAUAAUUUAGUUGCUAUUUGUUUCUUAAUGCAAUUUAUAAGCAUUUGAGAAAUAGAUACAUUCUCUUUGCAAUCUCUUAACAAGAUAUUCUCGAUGAAAAUGGAUCUGACAUAUGAUACCAAUAUCCAACACUUUGAAUUGAAAUCUUAAAUUAUGAUUAGCUGAGAGAAUUCAGACUAUGCACUGCACGUCACUGUACCAAAUUAUCGACCUCUGUCAAUCUCCCCACCCUUUGAAACAAGACAUACAGACAGAAGGCCAUAUUACCCAGCAACUAAGUCUUUAUCAAUGUCCCAGACGAAACAAGAGGAAAAGAAUAGUCCAAUAUGUUCCUUUAUCAUUUCUACACGAACAGAAUAAAUUGAAGAGAUAAGAAAACACAAGUUUGCAAUUGUCACAGUGAAUUCUGAGAUUCAGUCCAUUAGAAGAUUAAUAUCCCCCAAUGCUAAACGAGAAAGGUGCCCAACCCAUAUUGUUUCUCAUCAUAGCUUAUCCCUACCUAUACAUUAACUUUUAGAAGAUAAAUUUACUGACUAGAUUAAGAUAAUUUAGGCAAGUCGAAGGUAAAAACAAACUUAGUUAAAAUGACUGACUGAGGCUAGCAAAAGAAAGGGUUAGACUAAACAUUAUUAGGAAUGGUUUAACUAAAACAGAUUCAAGAUUUAUAACUAUACAGGAAGUAUUACACUAAAUAGAGCCAAAUGGAAGAACUGAACUCAUCUAGAAGAAAGAUUAAAGCUUGAAAGAUUACUGUGGUGGAACUCGAUUUGGGUUAAUUUAACAUGAUAUUGUUCAUGUUCUCACCGCUUAGAUCACCAUUCACUAGGUACCUAAGUAACAAAUUCAAGCAACAAUACAGAACAUAAGGCAUGCAGUUUCCAGUUAGCAAGGUUUUCAUUGAAAUGCCUCCCUAGAAAGCCAGUUUCACACAACCUAGAGCCAUUCGGCUUUCUGUACCAUUUAAUCUUUCACUUGACAAGCAAAUUGGAACAAAGGAAAAUUUAACCUCUCUAUAGUGAAAAAGUGAAAGUAACAUAACUCCAAGUUUACCCUCGGUGAUAAGAAGACUACUUACAAAACUAGGCAAACACAAAGAGGUUGUCUAUGCCACAUGAUUUGUGGCUUUUUGUUCCACUUCUACAAUUAGUUCAGAAUUCUGCUUUUUACCUUAUCUCCUUGAGCCAUUCUGACAUCAUUGGAUGCAGAAAUGUGUUUUUCCCAUUUAUUGUACCAGUUCAGUAAGGAAUUUCCAAAUUGUCCUUCGCCUUUCUUGUUUGUGAAAAGUUGGAGCUUUCUUCCUUUGCUAUUUUCUGAAAGUUGCCCACUGUACUAAUUUCAUCCUAUAAGCAAGAGUAUACUCCAUCCCCUGCCUUGGGAAGCUAUUGGCACAGUUUAAAAGCUCCAAGUAAGAGAUACACCUAUUGCAUAAAUGGUUUCUGUGAUUGAGCUCUAUGGAAGCCAUCUUUAGCUGCACACAUCCCAGAUUAAUACUUAUUUCUAGAAAUCUACAAUUCCCUCCGAAAUGUUAUGUGACUAUUUCAUGAAAUAGGAUAAGGAGUUGCAUACUUCCAAUAUAUCAUUCCUAGAAGACAAACCUUCCUUCAGAGUGGAUGAUGCCAGUAAAAUUGCUGCCCUUAAAUUCGGCAUAAACAUUUCAGAAGAACUCAGAACUUCAAAUUUGAUCAAAACCAUGAGUGAAGUGCCCCAAAUAUCAGAUGCAAAACUUAUAGUCAUGUUCCAUGAAGCUCCAAAAUUGGAUUCCCUUUUUUGCUCCCUUAUGUUUUUCAUAAACUUAACAACUUCUGCUUGAAUGAUAAGGGCAAGAAUAUAAAGAAACUGAUUCAUUAGGGCACGUAAAUCGACUUGAUCAACGUUAUCUACUCCAUGAAACAGCUUGGAAUUUAUACUCAUAAUCUGCUGAUAACAUUCUCAUAACUGUGAAAAUACAAAAGCUCAAGCAUAAUCUUAAAAUUCAAGUAGAUCAUUUCAUUUACUCCAAGCUUUUUUGUAGAGGUCUUAAUAACAACCAAAACUGCUUUUUGAUAACAUUUUGAAGUGACUACAGGAUAGACAUACACAAGCAAAAGGCGUCUUCAAACCCUGAAUUGUUCUCCCAUAAACUCACAAACAUGAGAUGAUCACAAGUCAGUUCUGCUAAAUGUCGAGGCAGUGUACUGUGCAGCCAUGUCCUUCAGAACUUGGAUCAAGCCCUUCAAGUCAUUCGUACCUAACUCAAGACAGUCCCUUAACAAGUCACCCUCCACCACCUCUUUCUGCAUUGUCUCAACAACUUCCCUAAAGGGUCCCUGCGCCAUACCCAUUAAAAACCUUUAAAAAAAUCAUCUUUACACGGAAAAACAGUGCUUUAUUUUAUAUUUCUAAUCACUUCCAUCUGUAAGCUGCUUACCAUGUUCCAGAAACUUGUACUUAAACUAGAAAAUAAUAAAAGAAAGAGAACUUCAUCCAAAAAUAAAUUCACUGAACUUAUUCAUUCAACUUGAUAUUUAAACAAUCAAUUAUUCCCAUAAUCACUGCAAUGAAACAUCUUUUAACACUAAGCACUAAUUCUGUUAAUUUUUGUCUAUUUUACAAACUUUACAAGCUCGAUUUUAAUGCUUUUCUUUGAACAUAUGGCUAUUUUCUACAAUACUUUAGCUCAUUCAUCAACUAAAAUCUUUCAAAACUUAGCUGAAGAGACCUUACCAUGUCACAUAAUAGCCAUACAAGAAAGUUUAACGAAAAUGGCACGCUUUAAUCUCUAAUUCAUAAAAAGAGCAUAAUUUUGGGCUCAUUGUUAUAAAAUAGUAAUUUGUACUCACUUUUCUACAAAAUUUACACUCUUUAUUUACAUUUAGCAAUUUGUAGACAUGUCCAUAAUUAUGCUUUUUUAACUAAGCAUCGCAUCCCCCCCUCCCCAAAAAAAACACACAUAUCAAUGCCAGGAGAAAAUUUUUAUUAGGUUUAAAUUGCAGAGGUUGGGGAAAUAAUAACUCAAAAAAAUAGAGAAAAAAAGCAUUACCGAUUGUCGAAAUAUUUUGAGGAGUUUAUCAAACAGCGACCUGGAAACGGUGAAGACUCUAUUAUAGUUUCGGCCGACCCAGGCGACUCGCUCGGAAUCAGAGCCGACUCGGGACAACUCGUUGAGCUCCCUGAGCAACUCGUUAAGGUCGGAAACGGCAAAGGAGAGGUCAGUUAUUGAGACCGUAUUGAUAUCCCGCCAGGCGUAAUUUUUAAGAUAGUCCGAACCGAGGUUCCAAGUGAAUUUCCAGAGGCCUAGUCCCUGAACUGACUCGAUUUUGUGCGCUAUAGUUCGGGCACGGGCUGAGCCCGUGAGGUCGCCUCGUGAGGCACGGAGGUUGGCAACUCGCACAGCGAGCGAGUGGGAUAGGGAAAGUAGAGUGCCGUAGUUGGAGAGAGGGAAGGAGAGGGAAAAAGUGGGUGAUGGUGCGAAGAGGAGGAAGAAGAAGAGGAGGAAAGAGAAGAGUUUGUUUUUCACGAGAGAAGUAAGCAUUGACUGAGAGAGAAGAGCAGCGCCGCUUUCCACGGUGGCGGUGCUGGAGGACCGGCGGUGGUUCGGAUCUUGGAGAAUGGCGGGGAACAUAGGCUCCGUGUAAUUAUAUCACAGGGUUAAUCACAUUUUAUCCCCUUAAAGAAUAUUUCAUUUCUCAGUUUACUCCCUAACCUUUAAUUUUGCUCACUUAACCAUCUGUAGGACAAAAUUACCAUUGCAUUAUUUUGACUUUUCAUUUACCUUGUUUUCCUUUCUUUUAUUUCUUUUUCUCUUUCUUCUUUAUUUAAUUCUUCCUCUUUCCCACAAAAAUCUUUAUCUUAAUGAUUGAAAUUAAAAAAAAUAAAUUACAGAGAUCUAUCUUCUCCUUAAAUGAUUAAAAAAAAUAUUCAAAUCACUUUCCUAAAAUACAAUUUUUUUAGCCUUUCAAUUCUUUUAAUUUUAAAUUUCUCUCUUUCAUUUCUAGUUUCUCAUUUUAUUUCCAAGAAAAUAUUUUAAGAUGAAAUUAUAAAAGUAUCUUAUUUUCCAUUUUGUGAUGUCUCAAAAUAUUUAUCUUAUUAAGAAAAUCAAGAUAUCUUUUAAUCUCUUUUUCUAAUAUAGUCUUUCUCUAUAAUCAUAUACGUGUUACUAUUCAAAUUCAAAUUUUGAAUUUGUAUGGAUAAAAUUGGAAAGAAAAAUACAAAUAUCACAAUCAAAUCACUAUUUUUUAAAAGUUGAAUUCCCAAAAUAUGAUUAAAUAAUUGGAACGAAGGAAGUAAUAAAUAAGACAUGCUCUAAUUAGAACAUGGGCUCCGUGAAUAACUAGAGCAUUAAUUAACUAUUAGUAAAUAAUCAACAAAAUAACUGUUGAGAAUUUCUUUAAUGGUGAACAGCGACAUAUAAUUAUAAAAUAACGCCAAUUGAUAUAUCAAAUGGCGCUAUUUUGUGAUCGAUAAAACUUGAUAAUGACAAGAAAUUAGUUGUAUACAAUAUCAGAAGAAAGCUUUGGUAGAAUUCAUGUGGAAAUUGUCUUUGAAACACUUGAAACUGUAGUAGUUGUAAAGAAAUUUUGCAAAAAUAAAGAAUAAAUGAGGGAAAAGAAAAGCAAAUUUUGAAUUUUUUUAAUUCAAAAUCACAAAAAUUGUAGCAAAACUUAUAUUAAGAGAGAUGACUGAAUUUGGCGAUCAUUAGUGUAGUUUUGUUGCUUAUUUAUGUUGUCUAAUGCAUUAAAUGUGAACUUUUUGAAUAGGGUAAUAUAUGUGUUAAUUGUUUCUAACUUUUAAUUACUUUCAUCCUUUUACUAAUAUAACUUAUAUAUAUGCAUAAGAAUCAUUUAUGAAAUAAAAGUUUCAUUUUUUCGCCAUAAAGUACAUAUUUAUUUUUACUUUUUUUGACUUAGACUAAUGUUGUUACCAAAACCCUAAUUUCAGAGGAGGUUUGUGUAAUUUUGCAAACUUUAGGGGAAGGUUAGUGAAAUUGUCAGAAAUCUCAGGGAAGGUUUCUAAAAUUAUCUCUUAAUAUUUUUUGUCAUGAUAAUUGGUACAAAACUUUUCAAGAAAAGAAAAAAAAAUUAAAGGCAAAUAAAUGAAAGAUUGAAUGUAGAUGGUGAUGAAACUUUGAAAAUAAAUAGUUUUAGUUGAAAUAGUUCUUUCUUUGAAUCUAUAGUAUUGCAUUCAACAUCUUGAAUAUUAAUUUUGUUAUUUAAAAGUUAAAAUUGAAUGAUAUUUAUGUAAUUUUUAACUAUAUAUUUUCAAAAUAUUUUUAUUUUAGUUAUUAUUCACUAUAUGUUCAGAAACAUAUCCACAUAUAUCUAUUAGAUAUUUAGACUCAUGAACGUCUAGGUCUGGAUCUACUUUUUUAAAUUCCAUAAGUGUUUGAGUUUGGAUUUGGAUACUUACAUCCUAGUUAUAUUUAUUUGGAAACUGGGGACUAGGAAGGAGCAUGAAGUUAUGUUUACGAGACUGAAGGGCCUAACUCUUGACUUUGUACAUUGAUGGAGAAUUUGGUUAUCAUCUCAUCAAAUUAUUAAUGACUCAAUUUAAUUAGAUUCACGUCACCGUAAUAACUUUUCUGAUUCUGUAGUUAAUAGUUACUCCACCGACUAGUGGAGUAAUAAAGAAUUUUACGAGUUACACUCGCCCUCAUUUAGUGCUGUAUCGAAACUAGCAUGAGAAUUUAUUCAUUCACCUGCAGACUUGUUUAGACUUCAAAACGUUUGAAGGCCUAGAAAGUAAAGCAGCAAAAAAGUAAAGCAGCAUGCAUAGGACAGCAGACCAUAACAUUUUCAAGCAAGGGGCUCGAACUCCAAAGGGACAAUUCCAGGAAAUGGCCAGGGUCCGUCGGUUAAGUGCCAGUCUCAUUCCCUUUCAUAACUCACAGUUUUUUGUAUGAGUGUUUCGAUAAAUGGACUCUGCGAAGACACUUCAAAAGCCGGCAACUUUUGAAGUGCUCCGCAGCACUUAACUACUAAACCCCCCAAACCCCCCCAAGCGAUGUGGGAACUUAACCCCACAGGGUGCCCCGCUGCUAAGAGAAGUCUCAUUCAUUCGUUCAUCAUUCAAUUGUUCCUGUGAUUUGGAGUAAAGGCAAGGCAGAAAAAGUGGCAGGGGUAAAGAUGAGAUGACAUUGACAGCAACAGUACACUCUCUGUUUUUCGGAUUUGGGGUAGGGACGGUCAUACUGCACGGUUAAGGGCCAAGAUUGGCCCUCAAAAUUUUGUGCGACUGAGAUUACACCAUGUAACUCGAUUUCCGCGCCAAGUGUGGGAUCCACCACUAUCUGUUGUGAAAAUACAUCUUGUGAAAAAAAAGUUACACGAUGUACAAAGAAAGUUACGGCCAGUUGAUAAUAACUACAAUUGGCAGGGACGGUUGCACCUGCAACCGUCCGUGCCCCGAGUCCCUGUUUUUCCAUUCCUGCCACUUCCGGAGACUCUGCUAGGACUGUCGAUGGGUUGGGCGAGUCCGAAUUCGGCUCGUUCGAUCCGGCAAAAAAUUUAAAUUUAAAAAUUAAAUUUGAAUUAAAUAUAAAUUGGGUUUGGGAUUUAUUAGGCUCAAAUUUGAUAUAGGUUCGGUCCUUUAAAUAUUUAUAUUUUGAUAUUAUAUAUAAUUAUAUAUUCAAAUAUAUUAUUACUAAAUACUAAAUAUAUAUAAAUUACAAAAUACAUUUAAAAAUUCUUUUAUGAGCUUUCUUGAGAACUAAUAUUAGUAAUUCAUAACUGAAUAUCUAACUUUUCUUAUUGGUUGAGUAAAUUUUUAUGUUGGCAUAAUAUUGGUUGAUUUUUUUUUGUCUACAAACACAAAUCAUCAAAUAUGUUUGGAUUUAAAUCACAUGGUUAUAAAAAAAAAAAAGUUCAACUUUUAAAGAUAUAUUGGAUAAUAAUCACAUGUUUUAUUAUUAUUUUUCAUGCAUUUUGAACGAAUUAAAUAUAAAUAUUGUUGAAAACUUUCUGGUUUAUAUACCUUUUAAGAACUAUUAUUUGUUCAUGUUUAGUUUUAAUAUUUGUAAAUGUUAAAUUAGUUUUACAACUUGAUAGUUAUAAUAGGUAUAUUAAGAAAAUUAAGGAGCAAUAUGUGAAAUUGGACUAAACUCGAUUAACGCUCACAACUCGAACAUUAUGUGAGUUGAGUAUGAACUUCAUAUUUAUGAACAUGAAACUCAUAGAUCGAAACCCGAAAAUGCUCCAAAUUAAAUGAAUUGAAUUUAAACUUAUGAAAGUCCGGCUCAUUGGACCGGAUUGAGAGACCUAGACUCUGCACUCCCAUGCGCUCCUUUAUCAGUACCACAUGCAUAUGCGCUUUUCCUUUUAUUCCUUUUAGGUUCCUUGGUCUUCGUUGAUACUUUUUCUCUUUUCUCUUUUUGCCUUUGUUUUUUGUCAGUACAAUUUGUUUUCGUGUUCAUGAAGCAAGAGUAUGAACUUAGAAUGCUGUGAAUACAAGUUAAUUCAAUUAAUAAAAUGAUUCAUUUCUUUAUAUAAGAGUCAUAUGUUCAAAUCAUGUUAUCGAUAUAAAAAUCGUAUUGAAAGUGAUUUAUAUAAAUCUCUACAAGCGGUCUAUAGUAACUAAUGUUACAUCUACCUAAAUUUUUUUUAUCAAAAAAAAAAAGAAUAUGAAAUGUCCAAAACAGCAAGGGCCAGUACCUAGAGAAAUCUUAAACAGCUGCCCUUGCUUUUACUCAUAAAGGCAUCCUUUUACACGGUGAAGUUGUCUAUUCUCCAUUUCCUUUCUAACGGAGCAAGUAUAAAAUUUUCUAACCUUGCCUUUGAACUGGUGGCCAUCACCUAGCUUGGUGGGGUGCCUCCCACCAAAAUAUCACAUUUAAAUAAUUUGCUUCAAAAAAAUUCAGACGGGUGUGUCAUGCACCCGUUUAAUCCGAUGAUAGUUCAAUCCUCUCCGAAUUAUCCCUGGACCUCCUUAGACCCGUCCUCUCCCCUUAAUGUAGUAUAGAUUAGAUUAUACAACUGUUGUCGUCUCCGAAAAAAUAUAUAUAUAAAAUUUUCUAGCUGGCUACCGGGCUGACAUUCAACAAAAAAAAAAAUUCCAAGCAGGCUGCUGGGCUGUCAAAAAAAUUUGUUAAUAUUUGUUAUGUGAUGUUAACAACAACGAUAAGAAGCCUGCUCUUAUAUUAAAGGUUGGCCGACUUGACUACUUACCAUCAAACAUUGACAAAGCACAGCAAUCAGCUCAGUUGAUCGACCAAGGAGGAAAAGACACACAGCGCAACGACAUUUUCAUCCUAAAAUGAUCGAAUACAUAGACAGGCCCAAGGUCGAACACUUCAAAUAUCAAGGAUCAUCAUAAGGUAGAGCAUCCAUCCCUUGUAGUACAAGUUAUAUAUGACAUGACAACAUUAUACAUACGUAUUUAGCAUCAUAAGGUAGAGGGACUGUUCAAACUACCAUGCAGACAUCUUUGAUUCGCAAGAUACAUUCAGCAUUGCAACUGACAGUGGCAAGUCAACAACUUUGAUGCUUAAAGGGGAACUUCCUAGUAAAGUCAGUUGAGACU